UAACGUUCCUGAAUUUUGUAGUCCUUUACAAUCACUUCAAACCUGAGUGAUUGUUGACUUAAUCUAGGGAAUUUGGGGUUCCUCUAUCUACUAGAUGGGUAAGUAAAUUUGUUUGAAUUUUGAAAUGUGUUACAGAUCUAAUUUUGAGCUAGUGCACUUUCAUUGGUGCAAGUUUCUAUUUUUUUUUUUUUAGUUAAUAUAAGAAUAAGUGGAAUUAGUGUUGCUUUCUCCCCUAAAACAAUUGACAUCCAUAAGUGAUCAGUUCAAUACAGCUUUACUGUAUACAGUCUUAACUUGCUGCUUGGAAAAAAAAAAGUAAUUUUUUUAAUCCAGGAAAUAAGGUUGUGGCCAAUUUUAUAAUAUGACAGGAGGCUUCAUAUUUGCUUAGGUCUCUCUUUACUAGAACUCCACAGCAGCACAUUAACAUAGAGAGAAAAACAUCAAAGACAAAAACAUCAGGAAUCCAUAAAAGGCUUCUCCCAACCAACUAUUUCCUCUUUCUUUGCUGCUUCGCAGUCAGUACAGGUCAGAGUACCACUGCCUCCUGUUUUAUGGGUGGCUGUGUGUUUUAUUAUCAUAUUCAUUGGAGUUACUUGUAACUUGUGCAUUAUUCCUUACAGUUUAGUUACCUGUUUUACUACUUUUAUUCUGUUUGCUUAUGCAGUUUUUCUUAUGCAGUGUCUAUUUAUAUGCCGUUUUGUUUCCCUUGCUUGUGCAUGCUUAGGUGUUUCAUCUGUGUAUUUUUUAUCUGCUUCUUAUUGCCCUUGCUAUCUGUAGACGGUCGCCAUGAAGUGGUCAUUCGACCGCCUCCCGUGCCGAGUGCCGGGACCACGGAGUAAGACUUCGGCGGUCCGAGCAGGAAUCCUCUUCCUGCCUCCCUGUCCUGCCCUCGUCUCCGCUCUUUUUUGGUUCUACCCGAGCGGCGUGGGGAAGGAGCAGGGAGCUGCACUCUUACCGCGGGAGCGUCUGCUCCCGAGCACCCAUCCCCCCACGACCGCGUGGUCAGACACGGGGGUGCGCGGCUCUAGCCCGAGUCCGCCGCGCGUGUCACUCCAGCCUUAAAGGCACGUUGCCCAUUUCUGUUGGGCUGCUCAGCUUACUGCUCAGCCCCCACUGCAUUCUACAGUAUUUCUAGUGCAUGUUUCUGUGUUGCUGCAGGCUGCAGUUAUUCUCACUGCAUGUUUUCUGUAGCCAUGCAUGAUUUCUGUGGACAUUACUGCUUGCUCAGUGCAUGAUUCCUAGGCUAUAAAGUUUUUCUCUAUGCAUUACACCUGCAUGGGACCCUGCUUGGCAUCACUGCCCUCUCAUUGACCUAGGAUUGGUCUGGGGAACCCCUCCUUUUACAUCUCUACCCUGCACACCCUCUCGGUCAAGAUUGUAUCUGCAUGUGUACCAAUGAAGGCUUUACGCUCCUGCCUGCAUAUACCACUGGGCCGGUGCUACCCGUGCCCAUAUACUGGCCUGCUUUGUCUGUGCCCCAUGAUUAGCCUGCUUUGUCUGUGCCCCUGUGAUUGGCCUGCUUUGUCUGUGCCCCAUGAUUUGGCCUGCGCUGUCUGUGCCAUACUACGCAUGCUCCUGGGCUGGUGGUUCUAUACCCUGGACCCCUGUUUAAGCCUGCAUGCACGUACUUCUUGCCUAUGCCAUUAUUAGGGGUGCUGCCCCUAUUGCCUGCUAGUGAUACCUGUCCUCUAUUCCCUUUAGGUAUCACGUUGCAUCACCUCCUGCACUAUGGAUGCCUCUGCACAGGAGCAGAAUUUGCAGGCUGAUUAAUGCGGCUGUGGCCGCCUCUGUGGAGAAGGCCCUGGCUAGGGCCCUCCCUCAACCACAACUGGAACAGGGUGCCAGAGGGAACCCCCGUUUAGCAGACGACUCGGUGGAGUCGGACUCUCAGGAGCAAGGGUAGGCAAGUGCAAUACCGCGCUAUUGGAAGGGUGAAGGCCCUGAACCACGCUCCCGGAAGGGUAAGGCCCCAACGAAGCGUCAAGAUUCGAGGUUAUUAACCUCUCUGGCCAGUCGCCGCCGUUUAUCGGGCGCAGGGGAGGAGGCCUCCUUACCCCCCCAAACUAUGGCCGUACUAGAUGAGUGACGGGCAGACCAGUCCCCCUCAGAGGAGGAGGAUGAUUGGGACGAGGACAGUGGGGAUGGGUCCAAGUGGCGCUGGGAGGAUGAAGACACACCAGCGACAGAGGACCCCACGGCGGCGUUGGGGGAUGAUAUCUUCCUGGAUGCUACAGGAGCGCCUCUGUUUGACCCUCGAUCCAUCCGGCACCUCCAAUCCUCAGACUGGUCACUGCCUGACCACUUGGCACAAUUUGUGCACUACUGGGUACGCAGACCUCUUGAAGGGGAGGUCCGCAAGAUAAACAGCUGGAUAUGCUGGGCCCCCUGUGCAGGAUGUUGGCGCUGGCAGACGAGGCCUACUUGGAAGGUACGGCCCUGGAACCAGCCACCAUGCGAGAUGGGGCUUUACGAUCCAUUUGCCUGCUGGGCAAUGCUAAUGCAGCCCUCUCCAUGGAACUCAGGAAGGCAGUCCUGCUCCGUAUGGACAGCAAACUGUCAGAGCUGGAGUCAAAAGAACUGGGCCCCAUGGCUAAGAGCCUGCUAUUUGGGGAGCCUUUCAUCAAGGAGCUGCACAGACAUGUUAAUCUGUUCACCUCCCUGGACAAGGCCCAGUCCUCCAUGAAGAGGGUCUUCCGGAAACAGACAUCCCGGGUUUUUGGAAUGGCUGGACGACAGUGGGGUCGUGCCUCCAGCCGCAGCUGGUCUUCGGGCCGCCAUAGAUCCCGUGGACCAUCCUUCUUCCCAUCAUACCAAUCCAGACCUUUCUACACUCAGAGGUCGGAUAGGGGUCGAGUGAAUCGUGCAAGAUUCUCAGCAGAUGAGAACUACUCCUGCCAUUUCUCCCUUUCCCCUACUGCAUGCGGGCAGACUGUUUCACUGCAGGGACAGUUGGCGGGAGGUGUCUUCAGAUGCAUGUGUCCUUCGGACCGUUCAGGGAUAUGUCAUAGACUUUCACUCCCCUUCGGUACAAGUCGGACCCCCAAGGGUUCCCGUCAUCUCAAGGGAACAAAACAGGUCCUGAUAGAUGCGGAAAUCCGGACUCUGUUCAACAAGGGCGUGGUCCAAUGGGCCCCGGACACAAAGGGUUUCUUCAGCUCGAUCUUUCUUGUGAGGAAAAAGUCCAGAGAAUUCCGUCCAGUAAUCAACUUGCGGGAACUGAACGCCUUCGUGGUCUACCACCACUUCAAGAUGGAGGGCAUCCAUCUUCUGCGGGACCUUCUCCAGCCAGGAGACUGUUUAUCCAGACUGGACCUGAAGGACGCUUACCUCCCCGUCCCGUGGACGACGAAUGUCGCAGAUUCCUCCGUUUCCUUUGGAAGGGCAGCCCAUGCCAAUUCACUUGUCUUCCCUUCGGCCUCAGCUCGGCUCUGUGGUGCUUCACCAACCUCCUGAAGCUGGUGGUUGCUCAACUCAGGGCAGAGGGCGUCCGUUGUAUAAUAUACUUAGACGACUUGUUGAUCUUCUGCGAGGACCCGUCCAGACUCAAGUGUCAGACACACUCUGCGGUCUCCUUAUUCGAACGCCUGGGGUUCGUAGUCAAUCUGGAGAAGUCAGCUCUCGACCCUUCCCAGACAGUGGAGUUCUUGGGUUUCAAGGUGGAUGCAAAAGACUGCGUUCUACGUCUGACUCUGACCAAGAUAACGACCAUUCGGAAGGAGAUAAGGAGGAUCCUACGGCAAGACCGGAUCCCCUUCGAAUGUUAGCUUGUGUCUCGGCUCUAUACAGGCUAUCUACCCAGGCCCGCACCACUACAGGGCCAUGCAAUGGCUGAAGGCUUGUUUUUUAUGCAGGAGGCCCUCUUACAACCAGUUGAUUCCCCUGUCCCCGGACGUGAAGACCGAACUGCGCUGGUGGCUCCUGCACAUGUCAGCCUGGAAUGGCAAGACGAUAUUCGGACCAACACCGGACUUCGUGCUAGAAUCGGAUGCGAGUCUGUGGGGCUGGGGUGCCACCUGCGCGACCGGAUCCACGGGUGGCCCGUGGUCGAACACGGAAUCUGAGUUCCACAUCAAUUGCCUGGAAUUGGAUUCAGAGCCUGGCAAACCAUCUCUUGGACUGCUGCAUCCUCCUUCGGAUGGACAAUGUCUCAGCGGUACUGUACAUCAACCGCUUGGGGUGCGCUCGUUCUCGAACACUGUUGGAAGUGACCAAGGAGAUUUACAGCUUCUGUUUCCAAUGCAACAUCACCCUACAAGCAGAAUAUCUUCCCAGGGAAUCGAAUCUGAUGGCGGACUGGUUCUCCAGACAUUGGAGGGACACCAGCGAUUGGAAGCACCUUCAGCCCAUCUUCCUCGAACUCGUGAAUCAGAGGGGCCCAUUCCCGGUGGAUCUAUUCGCCUCCAGGACGAAAUACCAGAUCCAGACUUACUUCAGCUGGCUCCCGGACCCAGCGUGCUCGGCGGUGGAUGCCUUUCUCCAGGUGUGGCCUUCGCAGGGAACGUAUGCUUUUCCUCCGUUCGCUAUGAUUCCCAGGGUGUUGCUACAAGUUCAACGUCAACGUGUGUCCUUGGUGUUGCUGACUCCGCAGAGUCAAGCCUGGUUUCCGGAGCUCCUGGAUCUCUCCCAUCGGGAUCCUCUGCUCUUACCGUCCCCUCGAAUGCUCCUCUCGGACUCCCGGGGCAACCCGCACCCCCUAGUGAGGGACGGCCACCUGCACUUGGUGGCCUGAACUCUUUCAGGUGUACCUGGAAUGUCGAGGCGUUAUCGCAAUCGGCUAAAGACCUUCUCUGGAAUUCCUGGGCUCCCGGGACGAGGAGAUGCUAUCUCUCAGCAUGGGGUUCCUGGUGUCGUUGGUGCCUGGAACGGGAUACUGAUCCCUUUACAGGCCCUGUAACUAGCAUGCUGAACUUUUUGUCUCACCUCUCCGACUUGGGACGAUCGUAUAGCUCGGUUAAUGUGGCUAGGUCAGCUAUCUCAGACGCAUGUCCCGCUUAGAAGUUUUCCCAUCGGCCAGGAUCCGCUAGUCUGCAGACUUCUUCGUGGGAUGAGGCUGGCACGUCCACCGGUGCCUAAGUACUCCUCCCUCUGGGACAUUCGUUCGUUUUUAGCGUUCCUUUGGGAUUGGCUGGAUAACCAGGACCUUUACCUUUGCCAGCUUUUGGCCAAAUUUUCCCUCUUAUUGUGUCUGGUCUCAUUCAGUUUCUGAUGUCCGGGCCUUUGAUGUCGACACUUUCGCAUUCUCUCCGGAGGAGGUCACCUUCAAGGUGGUUAGACGUACCAAGUCGGAUUCAACGGCUGUGUUGUACCCUUACUUCAGGGAUUCGCCUAAACUCUGUGUGGCGAAGGCACUAGCUUCGUUAUGUAGCGGUUACCACUCCACUUCGCUCUUCUCAUUCUGGCCAGUUGUUGAUCUCAUAUGUCAGACCCCAUAAACCGGUCUCAUCCCCUACCCUGGCUCGAUGGAUAAGAUGGUUAUUGACACUGGUGGGGGUGAAUGCGACCUUCGGAGCGCAUUCAGUUAGAGGCGCCGCAGCUUCUGGAGCUUUCAUGGCAGGAGCAUCCCUUCAGGACAUUUUGCGUUCGGACUGGUCCCGUGAAGAUACUUUUCGCCAAUUCUACUUUAGACCAUCAGACCAUGCUUCUUUUGCUUUGCUGUCAGAGCGUUAAAACAGCAAAUAUGAAGCCUCCUGUCAUGUUAUAAAAUUGUAGAUAAUACUAGCUUUAGUGUAACUAUAAUCUUAAUUUUAUUAAUGACAGGAGGCGAAUAUUUCCUGCCUGUUUUUUUCUUCCCCCCCCCCUUGUUUGGAUUGAUUGUUUUGACUGAUUUUCUGUUUAUUUGCCUGGUCUCCUAGGCUAGAUUUGGUAAUCUGAGGUGAUAUCUAUGGAAGUUGGGGGGGUAUCUGGUAUAUUGUAUUGCUGGUAGUUGAUGAUGGGAUUCAUGUUAUUGUACUAUCAGUACUGGAUGAUGGGAUUCAUGUUUUCUCAGUACAUUUCGUUCACUAAUCAGUGUUUUCGACUCUGUUUAUUUCGUUUCAGUUUAAUAGUUCGACUACAGUUCAUAGAACCGACUGUCUUGCAGGAUGAAGAUCAAGAUCCCAUCCAUUCUUCUAAGUUUUCUUCCAGAUGGCAAUCAUCGUUAUGUUAUGUUUGUUCUUCCUUUAAUUUGUUUAUUGGCAUUGUUAUGUACCUUAUUUUGUUGCAGCGUGAAAGAGGAAAUAGUUGGUUGGGAGGAGCCUUUUAUGGAUUCCUUAUGUUUUUGUCUUUGGUGUUUUUCUCUCUAUGUUAAUGUGAUGCUGUGGAGUUCUAGUAAAGAGAGACUUAAGCAAAUAUUCGCCUCCUGUCAUUAAUAAAAUUAAGAUUAUAGUUACAUUAAAGCUAGUAUAAUCUACAAUUCUAAGCUUCAAAACUCAGAGGACAAACACUUUGACACCACACGACUCAAGUUGAAAACCCUCAUAUUAUACCAUAUAAUGUUGAGGCGACUGACAACUGAGGCUUUUUUUCCCACAAUCUAACUUAGUGUAAAUCUUGGUAAUCGUGCCCUUUAGCAACAAAAAUGUCUCAAAAUCAUAUGGAAGCACCACAGGAAGAUGCCACAGCAUAGAUGGCUGAAAGACCCGAAGGAGAGAGAGCCAUGGUAAAUAUCAGUUAUGCCUGCCUCACAAGCCUACAUGGUGACAAGUAUGUGCUGCCUUCAGUUUGUGGCCUUUUGAAAGCCAUAAACAUUCCUCCCAUGCUGGCUGUAUGUUGGGGGGGCUUCUCCUGAGCCAGGCAUGGUCUUGCAAAGGUUCAAUCUGCUCAAUCCAUGGUAAACUUUCAAGCCCAAAGGCAUGGUCCAACUGGCAGCUCUUAAAGGACCACUAUAGUGCCAGGAAAACAUACUAAUUUUCCUGGCACUAUAGUGCCCUGAGGGUGCCCCCACCCUCUUGAAAAAAAGCCCUGUUGGGGCUGAAACGUUGCUUUGUAGUUCCUGGUUCAAAUAAAUUGCCUUAAGAAUUGGAAACUAUUGGAGUGCCUUGAUCAUUUUCUACAAAUUUACCUCACAGUAAAGGUCUGGUCAUCAGCCUACUCCUUUGCUUGGCAGUCCCAUCUUGUGUCUGGGUAAAACUCCUAGCGUGUCAGCAAUUCCAUGUUAAGUCAGGGCCCAGUUCCAACACUGUGCUUGACUGUUAGCCUUCCACUUCACAUUACGGACACUGAUGUUGUCAGUUUUUACGAGCUUCUCAGAGGAUUUGUGUUGUAGAAUCCUCAUGGUGUGACGCCGCUUCCGAUUGACAGUCUUCCGCCUAUGCAGUGGCUUGCAGCCCUCGCAGGCCCUUGAUAAGCGGGGCAGGAGCGUGGUUGGCUACCAUCCAGCCCUAGUAUCUCACCCCUGCUAUCUGUUCUCAGUGGCUGCGGAGGGGAGGUAGCCAUUCUCUAUUCCAGUCAUGCCCAAAAGCUUUCGAAUAUAGCGCCAGCUUUAACAUGUAGUAACUGUGGAAGUCCUGCAGCGAUGUGGCGUGCAUCUCCACAGAAACUCCCUCUGCCAUCUUAGAAAGCAUCUCAAUUAGGUAGUAGGAGAUUUCCUCUACAGCAGGGUUAGCCGCUCAUGAUAGUCCAGAAGGAUAACCUCCCCCCCCCCAUCUGUGGAGAGUAUCCGUCUCUCGUAGACCACAAAUCCUCGAGUUGGGCAAAUUGGAUGCGGAGAAGCUCAAUUAAGGUAUCUCCAGUGUCACCGUCGCCUCCUUAAAGGGACACACCUUGCACCCAGACCACUUCAGUCAAUUGAAGUGAUCUGGGUGCCAACUCCCAUCACCCUUAAACCUGCAAGUGUAAUUAUUGCAGUUUUUAUAAACUGCAAUAAUUACCUUGCAGGGUUAAGUUCUCCUCUAGUGGCUGUCGAUCAGACAGCCACUAGAUGGACUUGCGGGUUCUUUUUUUUUUUAACCUACCACAUUUCAAAAUUAUGAAGUUGUAUUUCACUAACUAAACACUAAAAAAUACAACUUAUGCAAGUCUGCUUUUUCUUUUAAACACCAAAAAAACGUGUGUUGUGAUGAUCAUUCAGUGGGGAUUUACAUUUAAAGAGGAAGUAAAACAUAUAACAGAUUCAUUUUCACCCAGGAUAAUAUUGUUAGCUUAAGCUGUUGUUUUGACUGGUACAUGUGGAUAAGGCAAACACCUUUUGUCUAAAAACAUCUGGGGUUCUAGAGGGGCAGGCAAGCCCUGGGGCUGAAAUCAACGAGCAGCUGUUAAAGCGCCUUUUGUGGCUCAACACAGUGAGCAGAAACAGAUUGACUGAUAUACAGUUUGCUCUGAAUGUUUGUAUGAUCUACUAUGCUAGGCCAAGCUUAGCUUGAAAAAAUAUUUGUGGCAUUUGCUAUAAUCCAGCCAACCAUUCCUUUUCCUUGACCUGCCUCUUGUGGGGAACCAGGAAUGUAAGAAAUUUUUACUGCAUGUUUCUGCUCAGCACAUUUUCUUCUCUAAUUUGCACUUGCUCAAUCCUAAACCAUCCUGUGGGCAGAGGUUUCGAAAAAGUUCCAAAAUAAAACAUGUAUUGCAAGAUCUUUCGCUCAAUAACAUUUUGUAACAAAACAAGUUACCUUAAUCAGGGUCUACCAUCACCGAUAGAUGAUUAGAAAAAAUAUUUACGGCAGAAAAUAAAUGAGAAGUCAUUUUACUUUAUUGGGUAGUUUAAAAAUGUUUUGCAAUUUUCAACACUUUUAAACUGUUUUAAAGGGAUCAUGCCCGAUAACCACUGUAUCCUGCUGCAAUGGUUAUGGUGCCAGGUCAUUUCCUCAAGAAGCAGAUCCAGGAUUGCGCUCAGCUGACAUGCUCAGCCAAUGAGUGAAUUCUGCAUUGCAGUGGAGUAGCUAGACCUUUUGCCACCAGGGGUGGUCCCUGAGUUUGCUGCCCCUCCAUCACUAAGGUGCAGCCAUGCCAUAAGGAAUACUGGGAGCAGGGAUAUAACAUGAUUCAUAUCCCAGUCCCCACCACCUAGCCUGCGGCAUGCUCCAGAACCGGUGGAACGGACAGAGGAGCUGGCGGAGCUCUGCCACGUUAUAUGAACUGACCAUCGGGAGAUGAGCGCUAUGUGGUUCCCUUCCUCCCAGUCAAUUGGACAUUGAGCCCCUUGGGUGCUAAUAAGGGCUGGACAAAGUGUUAUUUAUCACCCCUGUGCACUGACAAGCGCUAUCCACAGCCACUGUAUCAGGAGGAACGUGUCGAUUCACACUUUAACCGAGGGGCAGAUCCAGAACCCAAUCUCGGGAGGGGCACUGAAUGCUUAAAAUUGGUGUGCGUGUAUAUAUAUAUAUCGGCAUUUCGACCCAUUUGGGUCUUUCUCAAGAUGUUGAUAUGCAACUGAAUUAAACACAGUUAUUGAAAAAAAGUCCUACAAGUGCACCCUUUUGUCUAUUCGACAUAUAUCAACUUGGGUUUGCACCAAGGCAAGGUGGACUUGUACAUUGAUGUUACUGCAAAUUAAAAUGCGAAUUCAAAUUUAAGCUAAACAUUUGAAGACAUUUUUUAACGGCACUAUUGCCACAGCUUGGAUAUUUUAGCCUUAAUUUUGCAAUUCUGCUUUUAAUUUACUAGAAAUCAGAAUUUAGUAAAGACCCUGUGUGUGUGUUUGCAUUUCUGCAGGGCUCAUUAAUAUACUUAUUGUUACUGAGUUCUUGGAGGGGCCUGCUUGACAGCCUCCUGCCCACAGACUAUUGGCCCUGCAGGAAACCUGUAAAAGACUACCGAACUUGACCGAUUGUUAGCACUGAUUUCCCUGGAACUGUUUUGGGCAUGAUGCCAUGCUUGUGGUCAGUCAAAACUAUGACUUCCAGGAAAUUCCUGAACCCCUGAACCGAUCUGGGUGAUUUUUGGAUAUGUUGUUCACCCAGAUCGGGGCUAUCAGGGAAUGUGACUAUGUGGUUUUGUGUGUUUUUAAGGUACUUUUUGGGGUUUCAUAAUAUUGUGUAUUUUUUUUCUGUGCUUGGUACUAGAACAGGAUUAUUUUUGCCUAUUGCAAAGGGUAACGCCGCCUGUCUCUGACAUGAUGGGGCUUAUUGAUGGUAUACCACCGGGAGCGUUGAAUUUUAUCCCUUUUAUGUCGGUGGGUCUCCAGUUCUGUUUCAGCUUAUGGAGGUCUCUUGUGGUCCAGGGUGCUCUCCUCUCUUUUUAUGGACAGAAAUACUCUCCAAAGCAUACAUUUUAGUAAAAAACUGUAAUAUCCAGCUGUUCCUCAAGAAGACUGCCACUAAGAACAUGGAGCAGUUGGGCCUCAAAAAAUCUUGGAUUCUGGCUAGUUCACUUAAUGUUUUUGACUCAACUAGACCCUGCCACAUCUUCAUACAACAAAAGGUUUUAAAACUUUUAUAAAUUUAUCAUAUAUAAUAACAAAACUACCACAUAUUUUUAUCUUGGCGAACUGAUUAUCUGGUCGUACAACAGAUUAUCCAGUUCAACAGAUUAUUCUCAGUUCAAGUUUAGCUUCAUAUUUAUUCAACAUGUAUAAUUUAUUAUAAAAAAAAGUAUUUCUUCCCUUUCCUCCUUACUUUCUAUUUUAUAUACAUGCAUUUUAGAUAUUUUUGUUGCUUAACGUCUCUUAAGGGCUUAAUUUGCUUUGUAUUACUUUAUAUCAAUCACUAUGCACAACCAUUAUUCAUUUCAGGUUUUGCCAUAUGGGACUUCCUUACAGAGGAAUUCAUUAUGUAUUAUUAUAUUUCUGCACACGGUAUCUUACAAAAUUAGAUUUUCCCUCUGGAGGACACUUAACAUGAGGAACUCUAGCUUUACAUUCAAGUGUUAUGAUCAUGUGAUAAUAAUUUCAAGGAAUAAUUGUCCCAAACCUCUAAUUGUUUUCAUGUUUUAUGAGCUUAAUUGUUUUGUUUAAUUUGAUCUUUUCUAACUUUGGUCUCAAUUUAAUAUUGUUGGGUAAGCUUUUCUAAUAAUUUGGAUGUUGAUAUUAUGUAUCUAUUUUGUAGUGCCCUAAUUGGCACAUUUAUGCACCCUUUUGGUUUGACUGAUUCAUUUCCAGAAUCAGUUUUUCAUUACAGAAAUUACGCUAAGCCAUACCAACAUAUGGACAAAUAUCGGAAGUAAUAAUUUUAUUUGAUUUUUGGAAAAAAUGGUUUCACAAAAACAAAGUUUAUCAACAUCCUACUAUCGAGGCUGUUCCUGCGUAUUGCUGUGUUCUGUUUGUUACUUAUGCUAUACUGUUCCCAUAUUUUAUGUAUCUGUAUUAUUAUUACUAUACAUGCAUAUAUUUAUAUUUUAGGGACUAAAAACUGUGUUUUAAAAUGUUCAUGUGGAAAAAGCAUAUUUGCUCUCCUUUCUUCACUUUUCUGGUCCCCCUAACCUUUGCUCCUGCCAACAGUAUAUUCAGAAAUUGUUGGUGUCUCCUUUCAUUUCACUCUAAGUCUGCACCCCAUCUCUCCUGUGAAAUACACUAAAUCGUAUUGUCUUCAUUCUUCCAUUAUAGCAUGAUUCUUCAAGUUCUUGAAAUCCUUCCAAAUUACCAUUUUUAACUGCUUCAUAACCUGACGGUUCUUCCAAUUGCCCAUAAAAUUCUCUAGUCGUUGACUUCUGUUCCCUUUUCUCUCAACUCACUGUUAUAACAUUUAGAUUGUAAACUCAUAUAAAAACAAAUAGAUUUUUCUAUAUUGUACUCUUGGUUAUUUGCCUAGAUUUACAGUGCUUUAUAAAUAAUAAUAAUAACAACGGUCAACUGAAAGCCAGUAUUGAACAGUAAUUAAUCUAACACAAACAUAACUGCACUUCUUUGCUGUAGAGAAUACCGUUAACAUCUUUGGAGAUCUACUGUUUUGAUUAAUUUUCCCUAUGAUCUUGGUUUAGCAGCAUACUAAAUAAAUACAGCCAUUAAGGUAGCUCUCCUGCAUUAUACCUGAACAGUUAAUUUUGUAUUCAGCUUGGUGGCUUACAAUUAUUUUUUAAAGUUACGUUUAAGGGGACACUAUAGUCACAAAACAGCUUCAGCUUAAUGAAGCAGUUUUGGUGUAUAAAUCAUGCCCUUGCACUAUCACUGCAUAAUUCUCUGCUUAAAUAACUUUGUUGGUACAUCCCUAUUAACAUCCCCUUGCAUGUGACUUGCACAGCCUUCCUAAACACUUCCUGUAAAGCGGCAUCUAAUGUUUACACUUCCUUUAUUGCAAAUUCUGUUUAAUUUAGAACGUUUUAUCGCCUGCUCUGUUAAUAGCUUGCUAGACACUGCAGGAACCUUCUGUAUGUAAUUAAAGUUAAAUGUACAGAAGUAAGUAACAUCAUAUUGAAAAUUAACACAUUUUGUUUUCAUGCAGGUUGUGUCAGUCACAGCCAGUGUUUGUGCUAGGGCUGCAUGUACAGAAACAAAAGUGAUUAAACUCCUAAAUUUCAGAGAAUUUAGCAAUGAGACUUCAAAGGCAUGACCUAUACAUUAAAAAUUGCUUUAUUAAGCCACAUAUCUUUUGGUGACUAUAAUAUCACUUUAAAGUUAUUUUAUAUUUUUCUAGAUGUCUCUUUUUGUGGGACUAGGUAUCCUACAGAUACCCAUGAAGUUAUACGAGAGAACUGCUAAAAGAACAUCCAAGCACCAUAACCUCAACAGCAUGCUGAAAACGUUAUGGUGCCAGAAGUGUCCUGGUGCCCCUCUCAAGCUGUUUGCUAAUGGUGUGACUUCUAACCUGGUUCGGACUUCUAACCUUGGGUCCACUAGGCACUGUUUCCUGCUUCAAUGCUUCAAUGGGACCUAAAAGCUCUCAGCUUUUGGCUAAGCCCAGCAGUUCAAUACAUUGGUUGUGAUAGAUUAGCUGAAUCUCCUAGCCAAUGAGCUGGCCCUGCACCUCAGGGAUUAGUUAAUGAGAGCUCAUGGAAGCUUCUAGUAGGAAAUCCAACUCUCAAUACCAGAGGAAAAGAGGCACCAGGUGAAUCCCAGUAAAAAUUCAACCAUUAGCAAACAUUUUGACUGCUUACAGUGGGGGCCUAUUUUACAGAGACAAUUCAAUUAAACGCAGCAUACUUUUUAAAACAUGUGUAUGCAUCACAUACAGGAGCAGACUGGCCAAUCAGGGCCAUUGGUCAUGGACUGGGAGCCUGAGGCAGUCAGCGGCCCCCAAUGGCACUCUGCAAGUUGCUCCCCACCGUGAGUAAGACUUGACAGUGGUCUUGCUUUUCUUGUCAGGCGUCCUCGUUGAUAUCCCUUUGUUGCCAUGCUCUCUCCUCUUAUGUAGAUCACUCUUUUGGACUGUAAGCAUUAUGAGAGGAGUAGCAGCCUGGCAGAGAUACCAGGUAAGAAGAUUGAAAAUUAUUUAGAAAGGAAAAUUAGGGCUAAUGGAAAAACAUGGAUUGGAGGUGAAAAGGGCAGAGGCACAUGUGGGAUGCAUGGGGUGAAAUCGGACUGAGGCAUGCAGGUUGUAAUAGAAAGACAUGUACGGUUGAAGGGGAGAAGCACAAAAUUAAGGGACUGGGUUAGAAAAUUGUGCCAAUGAUGGCAGAGAAGUGUGGAUGGAGAAUAUUCAGGGUAGAGUCUGCAACAGCUGCAUUUGGCAAUUAGUACUUUCCAUAUAAGUCUAGACAUAUCAUUCAUGACUCCAUUGACCCCAGCUUCAGAACAUGCGCCUUUCGCCCGAAAAGAACCAAUGUGACAUUGCUGGAGGCAGAUCAAGUGCCUGCAUGGAUUCUAUAUUGGCGCUGGAAAAGGUAAGUAAUACUCCUUUUCCAUUUCUUAUUUAGAUUAUGUAGGUGCUAGGGGUGGGCCACUUAAUUUAACCCAGUCCUCAAGUAUCCUCAAGUAACAAUCCAGGAUUUAGGGAUUACCCAGUUAUGUCUAAGGUGUUUUUAGAAAGAAAGAAAGAAAGAAAGAAACACUUUCGACACUACAGGGUACUCCCUAAAUCCUGGCCUGCCAUGUGAUACUUGAGGACUGGGUUUGGAUUUCCUGGUCUAAGGAAUGCAAGUUUGUAUUCUUACCACUAUAGUGUUCCUUUAAUGUUUAUGGGGCCCUGAGCAAAAGUGAAAAGAAAGUCCUGCAUGAUUACUUUCUAAAAAAAUAUGCAAAGUAUUUCACAUAGUUUUGCUAUCAUACAACCUUUCAACAAUGAAUACAGUUAUUAUAUGCUUCAGGAGCACUGCUUUAUCUAAAAUGAAAUAUGGCUGGAUCCAGUCACCUGUUAUCACAUUGCUUACAUUUCACAGAAACUAUACUCUCUUUAGUCCAGACAGUCACUAUCUCUUUCUUAUAUGCAAGGUUCAAAGUAAAGCACAAUUUCUGGGAGGUCUGUGAUAAAUGUGUCAAUAUAUGAAAAGCCUUUUAAAAUUUCAAAGGGAUACAAUAAGAUAUAAAUAAUUAAAUAUGGUGUGUAUGAAUGCAAAGAAAACAUUGCACUGUGAAUUUUAAGAAAAAUUAAACAAUUCUAUAUUGAUUUUAUCAUUAAAAAACAUGAGAACAUCUUACAGUGCAGGUAAUUAAAGCUAACUACUGCUUAAUUUGUUUCCUUUGCAAAGUCAUGAGACAGAUAGAAUUCAAAGUCAUGAGACAGAUAGAAUUCAAAGCUGAGUUGUGAUAUAGGGGUUAAAGCGACAUGAGUGCAGAUAAGACACAAGUUUGAUAGAAAAUAGACACCAAUCUCACACAGGGUCGUAAAUAUAUUGUGAUCUUCCCACAAGAUAUUUACGACAAAUUCUAUAUGUUGCCUUUGCUCAAAAAUGCUUUAGACUUGAGAAAGGGUGGUGCUCCCAAAAGCUUGUCAUUACAACAUUAUGUUAGUUCAAUAAAAAAGGUGCAAUAUUAUUAUUAUUAUUAUUGCCAUUUAUAUAGCGCCAACAGAUUCCGUAGCGCUUUACAAUAUUAUGAGAGGGGAUUUAACUAUAAAUAGGACAAUUACAAAUAAACUUACAGGAACAAUAGGUUGAAGAGGACCCUGCUCAAUCGAGCUUACAUUCUAUAGGAAGUGGGGUGUAAAACACAGUAGGACAGGAAUUUGCAAUCAAUUAAGGUGGGCUGCCCUUUAGGAGAGGGCAAGAGACAGGUAUGUGAGGUAGGGGUUAGUCUUGGAGGCCAUAAGCUUUCCUAAAGAGAUGAGUUUUUAGGCACUUCUUAAAAGAUGCAAGACUAGGGGAGAGUCUGAUGGUGGGAGGCAGGCUAUUCCAUAGGAAGGGAGCCGCCCGCGAGAAGUCCUGCAAGCGCGAGUUGGCCGUACGGGUGGGCAGAGCGCAGAGACCGAGAAGGGACAUACCUAUGUAUCUGUGAGGAGAUAUAAGAGGGGCUAGAGUUGUUCAGUGCUUUAUAGGUGUGAGUUAGUGCCUUGAAUUGACUCCUAUAGCACACAGGAAGCCAAUGACUGGCAGAGGGGUGAGGUGUGAGAGAACCGGCUAGAGAGGAAAAUCAGUCUAGCAGCAGCGUUCAUUACAGACUGUAGGGGUGCAGUACAGCUUUUGGGAAGACCAAGCAGGAGAGGGUUACAAUAAUCCAUGCAGGAAAUUACUAGAGCAUGGACAAGCUCCUUGGUAGUAUCUGGUGCAAGAAAGGGGCGGAUGCGGGCUAUGUUUUUAAGAUGGAAUCUACAGGAUUUGGCAACAUGCUGGAUGUGAGGCUCCAAGGUGAGACCAGAGUCAAGUAUGACGCCAAGACAGCGCGCUUGCAAGGAUGGGCUGAUGUUGGUACCACAAACUUGAAGGGAGAGCGAAAGAGGAGGAUCAGUAUUAUGAGGAGGAAAGACAAGGAGCUCAGUUUUUGAGAGAUUGAGUUUCAGAAAGCGGGAGGACAUCCAUUCAGAGAUGGAAGAAAAGCAAGCAGUGACACGUUGCAGGACAGCAGGGAAGAGGUCCGGGGAGGAGAGAUAUAGCUGGGUGUCAUCAGCGUACAGGUGGUAGUGGAAUCCAAAUGAGGUAAUAAGUUUGCCAAGAGAGGCAGUAUAAAGAGAAAAUAGAAGGGGACCAAGAACGGAGCCUUGGGGGACUCCAACCGAGACAGGGCGAGGGGAGGAGGUAUCAUUAGAAAAAGAGACACUGAAUGAGCGUUGGGAGAGAUAAGAGGAAAACCAUGAGAGGACAGAGUCACAGAGACCAAGCGAUUGCAGAGUUUGAAGAAGGAGAGCAUGAUCAACGGUGUCAAAGGCCGCUGAGAGGUCAAGAAGAAUUAGUAUGGAGUAGUGGCCUUUGGAUUUAGCUGCGAUUAGGUCGUUAGUAACUUUGAUAAGGGCAGUCUCUGUAGAGUGGAGAGGGCGGAAGCCAGAUUGAAGGGGGUCAAGGAGAGAGUUGGAAUUGAGGAAAUGAGACACACGGGUAAAGACAAGUCUUUCCAGAAGCUUUGAGGAAAAAGGGAGCAGGGAUAUGGGACGGUAGUUAGAGGAGGUGGACGGGUCGAGGGAUGUUUUUUUUAGUAUAGGUACUACAGUGGCAUGUUUAAGGUCAGCAGGGACGAUGCCAGAAGAGAGCGAGCAGUUGAAGAUGUGUGUUAGAGAAGGCACGAGACAAGUGGAGAGAGAUCUGAUAAGGUGAGAUGGGACAGGAUCGAGGGGGCAAUAUGAAUUUUAUCUGUUUUUUACAUAUAUUUUAUAAAUAUACAAUAAACAAUAUAUAUAUAUAUAUAUAUAUAUAUAUAUAUAUAUAGUGUUCAAGUAGAGAUUGUAGCCGUAUUAGUCCAGUGAUGUAGAUGUAAAAAACAGAUAAAAUUUGUAUCUUGUAAUACCUUUUUUUAUUGGACUAACAGAAUUUUUUAAUGACAAGCUUUCGGGAGAACCUCCCUUUCUCAAGUCUUGAGACUUGAGAAAGGGAGGUUCUCCCGAAAGCUUGUCAGUAAAAGACUUGAGAAAGGGAGGUUCUCCCGAAAGCUUGUCAUUAAAAAAUUCUGUUAGUCCAUAUACACAACUGGGAGAAAUCAGGUCCAGGCAAGAGUUUUUUGGAAUUGUCUCCAACCCACUGCUCAGCUGCAGAUAAUCAGCUGUAGCAGUGGGAAUAAACCCCUCCCUGCUAUGCAGGUAAAGGGGAGAUUGCUGGCUUCCUCCCUGGAAGCAGGUUGGAGCGACGCUGUUCUCUCCUGUGAGAGAGUCAAGGAGACUGAGCACUGGGAGUGCAAAAGGAAAGCAGUCAAGGCUGGCUUGGAGCACUGGGAGUGCGGAAAAGAGAGAGAAUUCUGUUUAUUUCUAGAAGGAAUGGAAGCCACAUGUUAACCGAGUGUGGAGUGCAGAGAUCUAGGUUGGUGAACCCAAACAUUAUUUUGUUCUAGUUUAACCCCUGAGAGAGAGGGAAUCUGAUGUUAGUUAGUGCUCAGACGAGCUAGGCUUUUGUUUAUAGGGAUUUGUGUUAUUGUUGGUUUUUUUUUUCCAUUUGCUGCUGUAACUGUGGUGGAGUUUAACAAUAAAGCUGCCUGGAUUACAUGAAAACCAAAGGACUGUGCCUGUUGUUUACCCUAGAGGACCGUGCUAUCUGCAGACAAGGAUCACAAUAUGGUGGAGAAUGCGGGCACUGUAGCACAUUGAGGGUCUGUAGGCAACCGCUAUACAGCAAGGCACAAACCGUUUACUGACUGCACAGGUUAAGAACCUGAGGGACGCUCAGCAGGAGAAUAGAGCUGCCCUUACUGAGGUUUUGAAGAUUGCCCCCUGCAGGGAGCAUGGGGACAAGGGACCUCGUAACCAAGCUACUGACAUCCUGCAUAAGAUGACAGAGGCAGUAGAAGAAGUCUUUAGCAAGCUGAAAAGCAUGGAGGAAGCAAAGCGUGAUGUUGAAAAACACGCAGGAGAAAGAAUGACUGUGACUGAGGCCAGCAGUGUCAAGUCAGUUUGUGCUAUAAAGAAUGAGACAAGUAAAGCUAGUGAAUACAGCCAGGGAAAGAAAAAUGAAACAGAAGCCCUUAAUGUACACCCACGUGAACAAGUCAAAGGCAUGAAAAGCAGACUGACUUGGGGAGUCAGAGAAGACAACCGUAAAGGAGCUGAGCUUAACAGAGAGAAGCAAAGCACCCCAGUUGAGUAUAGCAAUGCGGUGCACUGUUUAGUAGUCGAAGCUACCCAAGAAUGUCGACCAGCUGUUGAGCAGUUUGGCAGAGAAAAGCAAGGCAGAGAAGCUGUGGCAAAAUGAAGUCAAAAAAAGAAAGGCAAAGUAGCCGCUUCUGAUCUAAGCCAAGAGAGAGUGACAGUUACAGAACUAAGCUGUGGUGAUAAGAUAGGCACGUCCGCACCUAAGCCCGACCAAGGCGAAAGUUACAAAGUAGAUGACAUUGGCGUAGCAGAACGAAAUAUUUCCGAGACACCUGGUAUUGUUACAAAGACUUUGAAUGAUUGUCCGGGAGCCGUAGAACUGGAUCUGCUGGCAAAGACAACUGCUGCAAGGCCUGGGCGCACUGACUACCUGGAACAGCUGCCAGAUUCUGGGAACCCAGUCAUGGAAUUAAAGGCGGGGCUCAGACUUCCUGACCGGCUGUUUGAUACCAGGGCUGUCAUGACCCAGCGAGAGGCCAUGACGGCGUCUCUGGACACCCCUGAGGGAGCAGGGAGACCGCCAGACAGCCCAGAGGAAAGCAUUGCUGACAUUGAGAGGUGGCCACUCAAGGCCGAGCAAGCAGAGGAUACCCCUGGGGAGGAAACCAGGCAAAGGAAAGAUGAGCUAAGCCGGGAGUCUGGGCCUCCAGCACAAGAACAGCGCUCCAUACGAGACCAGACUGAGAAACUCAAAUGCUUCAACUGCCACAUGCAAGGACAUAUUGCAUAUAACUGUCCUGAGAAUAAAGAGCCAAUACAAUGUGACAUAGGAAUAAGGGCUCUGCAUAGGAUUGUAUUGACCUUCUUAAAGAUGUGACUGGUGGUGGUGUUACAGCACAGCUAAAAGUGGUGAUGGUGGUAGGGAAGAGUGCACAAGCACUGUAACUGAGUGAGGUUACUUUGAUGAAAAGUAUUUUGUUCCAACCAGAGUAUGCAGCUACCUACCUUGAUGUGGUGUUUCACAGGGUUGUAACUGAGGAGCAAGUCAGGGCUGGUACAUCCCUAGGUGACGUGAAUGUUCACGGUAUGUGUUCUAAGGCCGCUCGCUCGGAUGGGUCUGAGCUGGGGAGGAGGAUAUGUGAUAAAGUGAAGGUAGAGAGGCCUUUAACAUUUAACCCCAGUGGAAGUACGUGUUGUAUGUGUGGUGUGCAACACAAAGCUAGGUUUAGUUAUGGGCCCCUGGGGUGGAGCAUUUGGAGAGCAGGGUGGGCCAAUGCUCCACUCCUCAGUUUAUACACAACUGGGAGAAAUCAGGUCCAGGCAAGAGUUUUUUGGAACUGUCUCCAACCCACUGCUCAGCUGCAGAUAAUCAGCUGUAGCAGUGGGAAUAAACCCCUCCCUGCUAUGCAGGUAAAGGGGAGAUUGCUGGCUUCCUCCCUGGAAGCAGGUUGGAGAGAGGCUAUUCUCUCCAGUGAGAGUGUCAAGGAGACUGAGCACUGGGAGUGCAAAAGGAAAGCAGUCAAGGCUGGCUUGGAGCACUGGGAGUGCAAAAAGAGAGAGAAUACUGUUUAUUUCUAGAAGGAAUGGAAGCCACAUGCUAACCGAGUGUGGAGUGCAGAGAUCUGACAAAGGCACUAGGUUGGUGAACCCAAAUAUUAUUUUGUUCUAGUUUAACCCCUGAGAGAGCGGGAAUCUGAUGUUAGUUAGUGUUCAGACGAGCUAGGCUUUUGUUUAUAGGGAUUUGUGUUAUUGUUGUUUUUUUCAUUUGCUGCUGUAACUGUGGUGGAGUUUAACAAUAAAACUGCCUGGAUAACAUGAAAACCAAAGGACUGUGCCUGUUGUUUACCCGGCAGACAAGGAUCACAAUAUAUAUAUAUAUAUAUAUAUAUAUAUAUAUAUAUAUAAUAUAUACAUUUUUAACUGCUCUUUCUUAUUUUUCCAUGUAUUGGUUGCUUUUUCUUGCUUGUACCUAUUGAUGCACUGAAAAUAUAUACCUAAUUAUACAUAUAUUUUGUAGCCCACUGAGUGGCCUUUUUUAGCCUUUUGGUUUGUCCCAUAACUUUCUUUGUUAAUGAAAUUCAUUCACAAAAUAAAGUAAGAAACGUAUAUAUUUUUUUCACUCUGUUUUGUGAAUGGGGAGCUACUGAUAGGCUGAGAGUGUCAGCUGGUGCUCUCAGACUAUCUGCCCAAGGCUUCCUGAUUGAAGUCUCGGAUCCAAAUGGAAUUUCGGAGGCAGAGCUGACUAGUGCUGGACUGAAGAGUUUGAGCUAAAUGUUUUACUAAUGGUUUAACCCCUAAAAGAAAGUUGCCACCAGGGACCUCCUGACACCAUAAUGACUUAAUUCCGAUGAAGUUGAUAUAUUUCUCGGAACGUCCCUUUGAGAGUAAUAUGGGAAAAGUCCCGAUUAAAAUCGUAACUAUUAAACAAAUUUCUUUCUUGGUACUGGGAACCAUUUAACCAGUUUCAGACUUAUCUGGAAGGGUUAAUGCUGAAAUAGCCAGUUUAGGUUUUAUGGAGGCCUGAAUGUGUGAUAAAAUAUUGCUGCUUUAUGCAUAAUAUAUAAAAUGGCAAUUAUUUCUCUCUAAUAUAUAAAAGCUUCAUUUUCAUAUUCCAUUUUCGUAAUUGUUUAUGCAUUAAACAACGUGAACUUAGAGACUCUAUAGGCACCGAGACCACUUCAUCUCAUUGAAGUGGUCUGGGUGCAGUGCCUUUGUCUAUUCAACCCAUCAAUGUACAACAUUGCAAUUUCUGAGAAACUGUAGUGAUUAAAUUGCCAGGUUAACUCCACCUACAAAGAGCCACUAGAGGCGCUUCCGGUUCCCUAGUUACUCUGCUAUACGACAUUGGACCUCCUCAAGCUUUGCAUGAGGACAUCUAACAUCUUCUAUUUUCCCCACAGGAAAGCAUUGAUUUACUGUUUUCCUAUGGGGAAGCUUGAAUGCACAUAUGGCACCUUCUGGCUUACGCCUUAGGACUCACCAAUGCCAUGACAUCGCGGUGGAGGAGAACUAGCCUUGUGAUUGGUUAGCAGUAAGGUAAAAAAAGAGACAGGAAGACUAUAGCCCUAGAAAUACAAAUUUGUAUUCCUAAUGCUAAAGUGUUCAUUUAAAGUUCAAUAUAUCAACUCCAGCUUAGAUUGUUGACUAGUUGAUCUUCAACACUCCAAUGUAAUAUAUAUAUAUGAAUAUGGGCAGAGAAACUAUUUUGUAAAAUAAGUUCACUUUUACAGUACAUUUAUAAACUCAUACACAAAAAUAGCAUAAGAUACAUAUAAUGGAUAAAAAUACGUAAAGAUACAUAGAAAUAAUAAUUCCAAAGAUAUGAGAUUUUUUUUUUUUUAUCCUUUUCUCCAUGGUUGGCUGUGACAUGCAGGUAAGUAUUGCAGAUAUCAAUAUUAGGGAUUUCCUUCCUCGUUUGAGUUCAGCCAUUCAUCAAGUGUAAAGUGAAAAUAUCAAUGCAUAUAUAAAUGAUAAAACAAUCAUGUCUCAAGUAUAGUAUCAACCUAUUUUAAAAUUAUUUUUAUUAACUGCAAAACCAUGCGUGCCAAAUUAAAAAUAAUUAUAGCAGUGUUUUAGGGGGACUGGUUUAAAGCAUUCUGUACCUGCAGCUUGACAAAGUAGUGUGGUGACUGCGUGUUGCGCAUACAGCAUUGGUUUGUAUUUAAUUACUAUAAGUAAGCUUCAAAUAGCUUGUAGCUGUGGCCGACUCCGGCCAGGAGGGUAUAUAAAAGGAUCUGAUCUUAGGCUGAACGCGUAAUGAAAUGUGCACUUCAGUAAAGGGGAACUUGACACGUUCAAAUGUGACUUGAUGAGGGGUUAAAAGCUCGACUAAUGUGCAAGCCAAAAUCUUACGGAGCCAGGGUGUAUGGGAAAUCUAAUGCAUAACACAUAAACUAUAAAGAAUACAACAAUAAUAUAUUUGACAAUGAUAUCUGCUGCCCUAGGCAUCAGGUAGGAGAGUCCGUACUCCCUGGUGGUGCUCUUCUGGGCACAAAUGGAUUAAUUCUCUCCAUCGUCUAAGAUGGUUGUAUGUCCUUCCUAACGGUCUCAAUUGGUAGAUCUAGGGACUGGAGGAAUGUUGUUGCCUCUGAAACGUGCAGCAAGAGAUGCAUCUUGUCGUUAUUUUCCGCCAUCAGUCGGUGCAGACCCCACUUGAAUUUGAUGGCAUGAUCUCGUAGUAAUUGUGUAAUAGGUCCAGAUGACCUCCGCCAUGUGAGGGUACUUCUAGAAAAGUCUCUAUAAAAGACCAGGUGUGCUCUCUCAAAGGGUACUGUGGGAGAGCCUUUAACAGCACUCAUGAGGGCCCCUCGAUCAGCGUCACAUACAAACUUUGGCGGCAAUAGUGUGGCAAUAAGUCUCCUGCAGUAAUAGGGUAAUUCAGCAUUUGAGAUGGCAUCAGGAACGCCACGUAUUCUUACAUGCGUGCUUUAGCACAAUCUUCUAUGCUAGCCAGUUGUGCUGUCAGGUCAUCACAUUUCUUCUGUAAUGAACCUAGAGCAGCAUCUGUGGCAGAUUGUGCUAGUUUGGUGCUUCCCAUGUCUCCCUCCACCGCAUCCACUCUGCUAGGGAAUAUGGUAACUCCCUCCCGGACUGCCAUAUCUGCGUGAAACAUGACUUUGAUAUCCGGGCUCAAUGCCUGUAUGUCUGUAGACACCCUCCUACAAAGAUGCCCGAGGCACAGAGCGUACCUGGGAUGAAAUAGGAGGUAGACCGUCCGACGAUGGAGAGGAGUAGGCUCCAGCCGUCGCCAUCUUGGAAGGUACAGGUAGCACGGUCGGAUGCAUAAAUGCUCCAAAAUCUCUGGAGCCUGAGCGCAGAUCUACUCUGUAUUUUUAACUCUUCUUCAUCAUUUGUUAAGGAGUCUAAGGACCCUUUUAGUUAGUGGCUGGAGAAAGCUGCGUUAAUCGGAACAAGCUAUUGGAUCUGCACAGAGACCCCCCCCCUUUGCAUUUUUCUUUUAAUCCAGGAGUACAGUAACUAUUUUACCUCUAUCCUGCUGCAUGAAGAAAUGUUAAAAUGGAGAUAUCCUGAGUAAAUUAAUAUUCAGUGCAGUUUUGUGCAAAUAUUACUUGGCGUUUUCUCUGUAGAAAACAAGUAGAAAUGUUAUGAUGUUCCACACUGAUUUUCACUUGAUAUUAAUAAUAAGCAAUUUUAAUCAUUACUAAUUUUAUCAGCACCCCAUCACUUAUGUUGCAAUUCUUUUGUUUUUGUUGGCAGAAAAUUUGUGUAGGAGGUUUUUUCUCUACUUUUGUUCACCAUCUAUGUCUGUCUGUAUGUAUUUCUGUGUGUCUGUCUGUCUGGGUUCUAUACAGAAAUUUUAUAGCAAGACUUGUUAAAAAAAAAACAAAAAAACCCUUUUAAAAGAUUUUUAUUUUACAAUAUUACUUUAAUAAAUAAGCAAAUAUUUGACAGAAUGUCAAGCCUUUCCAUGGUUUAACCAAAGAUUUUUGUUGUUCUUGAAAACAAAUAAAAACAUUAAAAAGGUACCUUUAAUGUUGUACACUUUAGUAAAUACAGAUAGACCAUGGAAUUCGAGAACUCUAAAAGCUUUGGUCUCUGUGAUAUCAUAACACCAUAGAUUCACAGUUCUCAUGCCCCAACAGACCAGGCUAAUUUAAAUUGAUAACAUAAUCAUUAAAAGGAGAUAACGCAUACAUAAACAUUUAUUAGUGAUCGGAGGACCACCCACUAAGCAAUACCUUCAGACACUUAAAAAACACAGCUAAUCAGAUGCACAGACUUGGGAUGAAAGUUACACAUUCUUAAUGUGUCCGCAACACUAAGGGAAAAGUGCAGACUAAAAGAUGGUUUUAGUUAUAAAUGUAGUUUUGUGGGUGUAUUAUAUAGAUACCCUACUGCGUUAUCUGUAUUUAAAAAUAGAUGGUGUUCUUGCUUGAUGUUACAUUAUGGAGCCUAUGACUACAUUACUGAGGCAUUGAAACUGCAUAUGCAAUACAAUCCAUUGGCAAUUAAAGGAACACUGUAGGCCCUUUACAAUUUCAUCUUAUUAAAGAUGUUAUACUGCCUUCAGUACUGGCCACCCUGUCCUACACCCAAUAUUCAAUAUUAAAGUAAUAAGAAGGCUUGGAAAUGCGGCUUCAAGCCACACCCCCAAGCCCUAUGGGUAUGAGUGCCGGGAAUCUUACUUCCUGACAUUUAUACCAUAACAUACAGUGACGUAAUAUGCGCACACGCAGUGCCGUCAUGGUCACCAUAUAGAAGGUAUGAUUAAAGAGCAAGCUCCAUGCAUGUUCCUUUAUAAGGAGCAAUGGAAUGGAUUUGCUCAUCAUCCUAGAGGCAUGCCUUCAGGAUGGCGUAACCUUAGAAUUAAGUCUCAGCAGCGCCAAAGGAGACUUAGGACUGGAGGUGAGUAAAAAGUAGUUUACUUUUAAUUAAUAUCAAGUUUUUUUUUGUUUGUUUUUUAAACAGUUUUGGGUGGCAAAGGGCAACAGGGCUGUAGCUUAUUCCUAAUUGUUCAUUUAAUUAAAUAAAAUUAACCUUCUUGACACGAGUUUAAAAAAGUUUUCUCAUCUCACAAUUCCUAAAGCCAGGUUUUAAGCAUAUCCACAUCAUGAUACAAUUGUUUAAUUUUAUGGAUGAACCCGAAUUAUUAAAAACCCUAUUCUUGAUAUUUCUAAUAUGAUCAUUUAUUCUAAUAUUAAAUGGUCUUGUGGACCUGCCAACAUACUGUAAACCACAUUUGCACAUUAGAAGGUAUAUCACAUGGCUUGUAUUACACAUAAUAAAUGAGUUAAUCUCAUAUUCCUUUUUAGUAAUUGGUUAACCAAGGAGUAAAAUGAUAACUACGCUGGUCUAUAUAACUAUUAAUAACUACCUUUUUAAAAUAAGUACUCAUUUUUAUGGUGCCAGACUCUAUAAAAUUUUUAAAUCUACAGAACGAACUUCUGAGUCACUAAUUUCAGUAGUUGAUUUUAUAACCUAGGAGUUAUAAUUUAAAAAUAUGUAAGAAAUUGGUCUGGCGAGGCACAGUCCCUCUCCAUAUAAAAAAAAAACCCAAACAACCACCUUCACAGUCCAGUCAUGACCUGAAUAAAUAAAAGAUCAUUCCCAAUAUGCCAUAAAAAGGCUCUCAUAACUUGGCCCUGUGAACUUGGUCCCCCUGGUUGUGCCUAGCUUCUGCAAAUAAAAGUCACCUUUUUGUAUGGGUUUGGAGUUUCUAAAAAAACACCCUCCUACCGAACGUAAUGGCUUAUAUCUAUUUCUAUGGAAAAAAUGGCCAAUCAUUGAAAGCUCUGUCUGUAUUUAACAUGAAAUUGGUUGGUUGUUCUGCUAUAAUUUGUAGGUCUAUGUUUCCUGUUUGGUCGCAUUUCGGAAGGAGUGACAUCUUGUUUUCUCAUCCUUUCUCUCCUUACUUCAGUCCUUUUUACCUCCUUAUCUCUCAUUAUGUAUUACAACUGUCUUGCCUACUUACUUCCAUACUCUCUUUGUUGACUUCUGGACUAAUACGAGUGGAAAAGAAAAAAAAAACUACCAGUAGGUGUCUCUUAACUUUAUAUGGAGUAACAAUCUAGCUAGAUAUUGUCACAGUUGCAGAUUAACCUUAAAACAUAAUUUUGAAUUAGUAUAUUCAAAUAUAUGGAAAGAAAAGAAUAAUAAAAGCAAAAAGCACAAAGAUAAAUGUUAGUCCAGUAUAGGUAAUCUUGCUACAACUGGCACAGAACCCUCAAAUUGCAAAUAUAGCAGAGAGAGUAGAGUGAGAAAAAGAUCCUACUAAAUCUAAAUGUUCCUAUUACUACAUAAAUUUGCAGUAAAGAUGCACAAAAAGGAGCGCAGAGCACAUAAAUACACUAGACUCUCCUGCAGUCAAGAGUCUGAUCAAUGUGAGAAGAAUGGCUCUUAUUCACAAAAUUAAAGUAUCUAAGCAGAAUACCGCAAAAAAGUGUGAAAAAAAUAAGACAAUAAUUGUCAAAAUAAGGUGCCAGUGACUUUAUUUUGACAAUUAUUGUCUUAUUUUCGACAAAGUUUCUUCGAGUAGUUUCGUUACACCACAACUGACUUUUAGCAUAACCGAAUUGCUGUAUUAAUACUUACUUUCAUUUUAAUAUUGUAUCUACUUCUGGUUCCCAACCACAAAUAUAUAUACAGUAGUUUUAGAUACUUUUAAAACCUGUACUGCUGUACUGCAUGGAUGGUGAUAUCAGAUGUGUAAUUAUUUCCCUUAAUGAAUGUGCAAUAAUGCAUGGAUCAAUUCAAGUGCCCUAAUCUCAGAUUCUGUUCUGCCUAAAAUCAGUGGGAUCUACACUCCUGUUUAGGAAUAAAGUCCUACCCUUAUCCUUAAACUUCACUAAACAUUAUCCCCUACGCUACAUUACACUAUCACUAAAUAAUACGUUAUACACUACAUUAAAUGAACUAUUAACUUCUGCACUAACAGUAAUCCCUAACCCCUGCACUACCUAAACACUUACCCUUAAAUACUAUACUACAUUUACACUAACAAUUAACAACCUACACUACCUAAACACCUAGUUCUAGCCCUAAUACAAAAAAUACAUAACAGCAAAGUGUAUCGGGGGAUAAUAUUAUUAUUUCAAGAUCUGUAGACAUUUAGAAACUUCUCAAACUUUGGUCUCAUGUUUUAUUAUGAUUUCUCCAAAACUCUUCAAUGACACUGACAUAUGACAUAUUUCCAUACAGACGAAUGUUAUGCAUUCUCUCUCCUUCCUUCUCUUUCACCUUCUCUCUCUCUCUGACUUUCUUUCUUUCAAUCUUUCUCUAUUUAUACAUAUAUAUGCAUAUAUUUGUGGAAAUAUAUUUUCUGCAUGUUUGUUAUGUUUGUUCUAACCUCAAAAUAUUCAGCAGAAGGUAGGAAUUUUUGUUUUAGGCUUGUGGUCACUUUUGUCAGCUGAAUUGCUUUGAAGCAUAAAUCUAAAUUUGGUACAAGGUUCCUCCUUGCAAUUUAUAUCUUUAUGAGUUUUUCUAAAGAUUCUUGGACUUGUUUAUUCUUUUGAAUUCUUAAGGGAUACCAUUUAAAUUGAGUAAUUUAUUUAGAUAAAUCACCAGUAAUCCAUAAGUGAAUAACAUGUAUGUGUAGUACUGUUUUGUACUGUGUGCUGGAUUUUAUACUUAUUAGUUUUUACUUGCCAGUUGUUAUGUCAUUACAGAAUUAGUAAAAAAAAAAAAAAACAUUCAUGAGUGACAAUAUGCCAAAAAACUAAACAAAAUAAAUUUUCAUUAAUCAUAUUUCGGAGAAUAGCGGACAGAAAGACGUCUAAUUUUACUUAGUGAAUACAUAGGAGAGGGAGUAUGGAGUAAAAUCUGGAAAUCAUAAUAUAGUUAAAAAAAAAUGGCUUGGUAACUACCAACAAACCAUUAAUUAUUUUCUUUUUUAAAUUUAAGUUUAUUAGUUCAUCAUUUAUAAACCGUAUAAUGUAGAUUCAUCUAAAAUUGAUGUCCCUAAUGAGAUUUGGGAAUAAUGCUUUAAACCCAGAACCAAUCAACAAGUAAAUACCAGACUUUAAGCCUGGACCUAUUGAGUGCCAUGGUAGUUUUCAUUUUUUCUCACAAGAGGCCUGGGCAACUAUAAGGCUAGGUCAGCAGCAUCAUCUCCUUAACUCCUCCCAGACCUCACCACCUGAGAUUGCCGACCCCCAUCCUUGCUUUUAAUCUCUUCUGCUGCAGAGAUCUCCAGGUCCAGCCAGAUAAGCUAAGCAGUGAAUCCCGCAGCCUACAGUUUUGUGGCCAUCUUGCAAGCAUCAGACCCUGGAUCUCUUCUAGAUUCAUUAUAAUUCUAUAAUAAGUGCUAUUUCAUUUUUUUUUUUAGUUUUUAAUCUUUAUUAAAUUUUUUUCCAUAAAUUGUACAUGACAAAACAAAUAUACAUAUACAAAAGACAUAAAAAGCAUACCAAAACCCUACUGAAGUGGGAUAUUGUAAAUAUAUUGCACAUACUUAUACCAAAAGUCUAAACUUCGGGCAAAAUACAUUGUUAUUUAUAAAAAAAAAGUUCCUUUUGUUUUCCCUUUUUCAUCUUCCACUCCAGCAACAUAAAAUUAAAAUAUAAAUACAAGUUAAUAAAACACUUUGCUGAGAGAUUGUCGUGUAGUGUUUACAGGAACUAGGUGGAGAGAGAUUUAACAAUACAUUUUCCUUUUCCUUUCCCCUCUGCCUCUUUCUUUCUCUUUUGUUUCCCUUUGUCUUCUACCUUUUCUCUUACCUCUUCACUCUCUUUUGCCCACCAUAUUCCAUUUGUCUUUUACCCAUCUUGAACUAUAUAGGUUUGCACCCGGGUACCACCUAACAUAAGUGUUAUUUUAUUAUAAUUCUUAAACCAGUAAUAUUAUAAAUACAACCAUUUAUAAAGAAUAAGAAAUACAGAAUCCCUUAAAAUAGACCCUCUUUGUUGGUGAUAUAUAUCUGUUUACUAAUACAUAUGAUAUUUAACAUCACUAUGCUAUGUUCACACCUCUCUGGGUUAAAUGUUUGUGCUAGCCUUAAUAUUUUCCAAGGGCUUUUUUUGUAACUUGGAGAAACAGUAAGGUGCAUUGAUCUGUAAUAUCAAAGAGCUGGCAACAUGAAUAACUGAUUCUUUCAUUUGCUGUCUCCUGACAUCAUCCCUAUGAGUCACUGUGUAAAGAAAUUCUACCUACCCUUUGCUAAUAUAUGCGAAAGUGUGCCUUGGGAGAGUUUGUGUAGUAAAGGAAUUGAAAUGUGUUUUCUGCUUUUGGAAUAUGAAUACAUAUUACUGAAUAAAAAUAAAAUAACUAUGACAUAGAACAGCCUUUUUUAUUUUACUUCAAAGAACAAUUGUUUAUACUGAUAUUGAUUGAAAGUUACAUUUAUAUUACUAUGAUAUAGCAUUGUAUUUUUUUAAACUAGAUAAACACAUCUACAUAUUAACAGAAAAUGCAUAUUAACAAAUCUAUUAUUAAAGCUAUCAUUAGACCUUCAAGGAAAGAAGGUAAAUUGACCAUCAGAAAUUUUUUUUAAAUUGACUCACAUACUUGUGAAAAAAUUGACAAUAUAUAAAAAAAGAAUUUGCAGUAUUAAAUAACUUGAUGAUGUGGCUACCAGUGAGUUGAUGUAUAGAUUUAAUCAGGUACAUACAUUGACAUCCUGGAUUUUGUUAUGUGAGAUAAACUAUAUCAACAAGUCUAAUCUUCAUCGUUUAUAUUGCAAUAUAAACCUGGACUUGGUUACUAAAGAUGCAUAUCUAUCUCUGAGAAACUAAUCCUGGCCGUUAUGGCCAUGGGCCAUAUGAGGCCCAUAACGGCUUUUCUAGAUUCCCCGGCUUGUUUCAGGAAUUCAUAAUCUUUUGUCAUUUUUCUUUAUUUUAAGUACUAUUAGCAUAUAAAACAUAAAAAUAUCUCUAUGAAAAAUGUACUGCAGUAAUAAGGAUCCAACCUGAACACUGAAAAAAAGCCUUUUAUCUCAAAAUCAGAUUUCAGUGUCUUUCCAGAAAAUGUUUUCAAAAUUUCUAUUCUACAUAUAAAUUGCUCUUAUCUUUAAUGAUUCCUAAAGAUGUUGAAAACAUUAGUCUCAUUAAAAGUCAAUUUAACCUUUUAUAUAUCGACGAUAUGUCUUACAGGUGAAUCGCAUUUGUUUAUUGAAUUUUUCACCCAAACUCUAUUUUUUUUUUUUACCCAUUUCUGUUUUGCUUUAUUGUAAAUGAUUGAUGUGACGCUGGGAUUUUGCUACUGUUCCCACUACAUUGUUAAUUUUUAUUUUUAAGUCUACCUUUCAACUCGUCUUUUGAACAUUAUUUAUCGACAAAAAUAAGCAUAGUUCUUAAGUACUGAUAAUGCAGUACAUACUGAAAUAAUAAAGAGAAUCCCCAAGGCUCUGAAAGAGUUAAUGAAAUGCCAUAUUGUUUUUAUCAGCAGGUCGGAAGGUCUGAAUUACUCUGCAUGUGGUUUUAUUUCUACGACAUGUUUCAUGAUUCAAGAAUUACAAAGUGAUUUUAAGGAAAAGAACACAAAGGGCAGACAGUAACCAGAAUAGCAGCCAGUUUUAUUACUCCAUCUACAAAACAGAAAAAUAUGGAAGCAGUCACCUGAACACAAGCAUAUAUUAAUAGAGUGCACCUGAGAUAAGUAAAGGUUGCACACAAUCCAAGAAUUAGUUACAUGAUAGGGCUAUUGUAUGCUUACUCUGCAUUUCAUAUAACCCAAUGUGUACCAGAAAACAUUCCCAAAUGAUUGAUUUUAAAGCCAUGGAAUCUGUAUAAAUUUAGAUUUUUUAAGAGAAACCCCCCUGUGUGUCAGGAUCCACAUAAAGCAUUACAAGCAUGGAGCAUUCCAAUAAGCCCUACCGCUGAGUUUCAAAGUACUUGUAGUAGAAGGCCCAGACAAUAUCAGGAUCUUUUCAGUGACUACACGUGACAAUUUCAUCAUUCUUAUUUGCUAUCAGUGGGAAGGCGAGUACUUGGCAAAUAACCCUUCAAACUUCACAUUCCUCCCUAAACCCCCUUUCCCCUAAUCAUACAUUUUAUAUAACUGUAUCUGCAGCUCUGCUAGAAGGUUGCCUGACUUAUAGUAGUUAGUUUUCACUUAUAGUUACAUAGCUGAAAAGAGACUUGCAUCCAUCAAGUUCAGCCUUCCUCUCAUUUGUUUUUUGCUGUUGAUUCAAAAGAAGGCAAAAAACCUAGUUUGAAGCACAAUUUUGCAACAAGCUAGGAAAAAAAUUCCUUCUUGACCCAGGAAUGGCAGUCAGAUUUAUCCUUGGAUCAAGCAGUUAUUACCCUACAUUGAAAUGUACAUUACCCUACAUUCUUUCUUCCAGUCUAAACGCAUGACCUCGUGUCCUAUGUAAAGUUCGGUUUGUGAAUAGAUUUCCACACAAUGGUUUGUAUUGGCCCCAAAUAUAUUUGUAUAAUGUUAUCAUAUCCCCUCUCAGGCAAUGUUUUUCUAAACUAAAUAGGUUUAAAUUUGUUAACCUUUCUUCAUAUGUCCCAUUCCUUUUAUUAAUUUUGUAGCCCGCCUCUGCACUUAUUCUAGUGCCAUAAUAUCCUUCUUUAGAACAGGUGCCCAAAAUUGCAUAUUCAAUAUGUGGUCUUACCAGUGAUUUAUAAAGAAGCAAAAUUAUAUUCUCGUCCUGAGAAUGAAUGCCCUUUUUCAUGCAUGACAAUACCUUACUGGCCUUGGCCAUUGCUGAUUGACAUUGCACAUUGUUGCAUAGUUUGUUGUCUAUAACAAUUCCCAAGUCCUUUUCGUGUGUUGUUAUCCCUAAUUCGCUUCCAUUAAGGGUAUACGUUGCAUGUGUAUUCUUUACGCCGAAGUGCAUAACUUUGCAUUUUUCAACAUUAAAUUUCAUCUGCCAUUUGAGUGUCCAGUCCCCCAGUCUAUCUAAAUCCCUCUGCAGCAAAGUAAUAUCUUGCUCACAUUGUAUUAUUUUACAGAGUUUUAUGUCAUCUGCAAACACUGAAACAUGACUUUCAAUGCUGUCUUCAAGAUCAUUUAUAAACAUGUUAAAUAGAAGGGGUCCUAGAACAGACCCCUGAGGGACACCAUUUGCCACCUCUGUCCAGCUUGAAAAUUUACCAUUAAUGACAACUCUUUGUACUCUGUUUUUAAAAGGAUUUAGGCACCUGUGCAUCUACAGCUUAAUGAAGUGGUUCGGGUGCCAGGGUCCUUCUAGGGUUAACCUAUUUUUUAGCAGUCAUAGCAGCUCGCUAUGUUUAUUAAUGGGUUGCUUCCUCUGUUCUUCUAGUGGUUGCCCUAUUGACAGUUACUAGAGGCGCUGGCGUGUUUUCACUGUGAGCACGAAGCGUGCUCAUAGGGAAAGCAUUGUAAAUGUGCUUUCUAGGCGACGGCUGAAUGCUGCUGCCAAGAGUUUUGCCGCAUCGCAAGAUUCAGCCCAGGAGGAGUGAUCGAGGAGGAGAGGAGGCAGAGAGCUCCCCGCCCCAGUGCUGGUAAAAGGUAAGUUUUAACCCCUUUCCCUUCUGUAUCCUCGGCGGGGACCCCUGAGGGACACCACUUGCCACCUCUGUCCAGCUUGAAAAUUUACCAUUAAUGACAACUCUUUGUACUCUGUUUUUAAGCCAAUGUUCUACCCAAGAACAAGCAUUUUCAUCUAGACUGAUUUCCCUGAGUUUGAACACUAAUCUAUUGUGUGGGACUGUAUCAAAUUUCUUGGCAAAAUCCAAAUAGAUCACAUCCACUGCAACACCCUGAUCUAUACUUCUACUUACUUCUUCGUAGAAUGCAAUCAAGUUAGUUUGACAUGACCUGUGCUUCAUAAAACCGUGCAGAUUUUUGCUGAUAACCAUGUUCUUCUCAAGGAAUUCUUGAAUAUUAUCCCUUAAUAACCUUUCAAAUAUUUUCCCAGCCAGAGAAGUUAAGCUCACAGGUCUAUAAUUUCCAGGCAAGGAUUUUGAACCCUUUUUGAAUAUAGGAACCACAUCUGCUUUCCUCCAAUCCUCCGUUACACUUCCUGAAAGAAAAGAAUCUUGAAAGAUUAAAAACAGAGGUUCACUUAUUUCUACACUUAGUUCCUUAAGUACUCGUGGAUGGAUACCGUCAGGCCCUCAAGCUUUGUUUAUAUUAACUUUCUUUAGUUGCUGCAGCACCUUGUCUUGAGUUAACCAAUUACAAUUAUUCUGCAAGUUUUUUGUAGCAAUCAUUUGCACAUCUAUUGCCAUGGGUUAUUCCUUAAUAUAUACGGAGGAGAAAUCGUUAUUUAAAAUUCCUGCCUUUUCCUGGUUUACAGAGGACACUGGUCUAGGCUCCUGGUACUUAUCUCCACACCAGCUUACUUCAGCUCUGAAAAGGCACAUUAUAAGUGCUGAAAACAGAUGCCUGCUAGAAUUUUUUUUUUUCAGUUUAUGGGAGUGUAGGACCCCCUAGUGGGCCUGAAACAUAAUUAAGGGAAUCUUCUCCUGGGACUGUAGUUUAGUCAUGAAAAUGUUGCUGUAUAAUGGGAGAGACCUUCCCUAACCUUCUAAGAGGCUCCUCUGUGUUCUGUCACUCCUCUUCAGUUCCUGCUGUCUCCCGAAUACUGGGUCCAGGAAUCCCCAGGCUUCUGUCAUGCCGCCCGCCGGCGCUGCUCCUGUCAGAGGGCAGCAAGGGUCCUGGCGGGCGCGUAUCGCUACAGCGGUAUUCUCACAAACUAAGGGGAAUACUGCAAAACACUCACCAGAGGUGACCUCUCCUCUCUCAGGAGCCGGAUCUGUAUCAUUAAGCUGCUGUGAAAAAUAAAGGGUUUCCUGUUUAACCCUUAAAGGACCAGAUCAAUUAAUUUAAUAUGGGAGUGUUACACACAUAAACUUGAUCACAUGUUUCCCUACAGCCUAUCAGGAAACACCUUUAGCUAUUUAAACCUCAUUUGUCCAUUUAUCUGUGCUCUGUCGUGGUUUCCAGUUGGUUAUCCGAGAGCGCAUUCCUUGUAUUGAUUUCUUGUGUGUCUGACCUUGGCUUCCCUUAUUGACUAUCCGAUCUCUGUAUUCCUUGACUUUUGGCUUGGCUCCUGACUAUUCUGAUAUCUCAAUUUCUUAACCUUUGGCUUGUUUAUCGUUUGCGUUAUACCUUUGUCUUGGCUUUUCCCUAUCUUGUGUCUUUUGCCUUUUUACGUUAAAUCCGGCCAUUCUAAGGUCCGGUAAUACGUUUUAGGUAUUUGCUUUUGAAAUGGAAAAAUCAAUCAAGGUAUUGAUUAUUUCUUUGUGUAUCUGCCCCUGGCCAAAUCAAUGAAACAAUGCGUGCACGCUCCCUGAAGUAAUUCACACCAGACACAGGUUCCAGGUUGUUGAAUAACUUGAGGAAUGUUUAUUCAGAGGGGACGGCAGGUCCCUUUUAAAGCAAAAUUACAUCAUAAGCAUUGUCAGAGAUAACAUGGAAUAAUACAUCAAUUAUUGGUUAGGUGUUAAGUAGUCAUUCUAAUGCUCUGCCUACUGGGGGUGAUGUCACCAGGGCCAUGAGGGUCUCCCACGGUUUUCCGGCGCCAUCUUGCUGCACGAGGUAGUUAGUCGGUGUUAAAGGGAGGGGGAGGAAAGGAGGGGUUAGAAGCUUCUAGCAGCCAUCUUGAUUAAAACAUGUGUGCAUAGCUUAUAUUGUAUAUAGUGAAAUGAGUAAAUAGACAUUUUCAUUAACUAGGAAAUAUGUGCAGACCUUAUUUCCACAACAGUCCCCCCUAAAAUGGCUAUUUACUAUGACAACUUGCUACUGUCCCUAGUGUAUCCCUAGCUGCCUGCAGCUCAUCUGUCUUCACAAGCAUCGACCUCUUCACUCCGUGGGUAACCCGCAGUAGCUAGUCCACCACAUCUCCGCACGUGAGACUUGCCCGUAAAGACAGACGCUUUCCCUACACUGUCCCUACAGAAAUGCAGUUGUCUGUUUAAACUGAUGUGAUUGAAGGGGUGUAUGUGGGGUGUCAUCUUCGAGGUCUGUGAUGUCUUGAUGUAGGAAAGUAGGGGUAACGUCAUCUAUAGUCUUCCCUACUGCUUUCUGUAAAUACUUCUGUAUGCAAGGGAGCACACAACAGGUUAAGAAUAAGAAGAUGAUAAUCAUUAUAAGAACAGCUGUUCCUACCUGGAAGAGGGUCCUUUGCCAACCAUUCAUCCACCCAAACCAUCUGUCCCAAGUGUCAGUGACUCCUGAAUUCUUCUUUAGCUCGUCAGAAAGACUAUCUAACUUCUCUAUGGCCAUAGUCACCUUACCAUUGGGCCCAGUGUUGUCUGGAAUGUAUGUGCAGCAUGUCAUAGUCUCAGGGAGGAUUUUACAUACACCCCCUUUCUCAGCUAAAAUCAUAUCUAGGGCCAUUCUGUUCUGAAAUGUCAUUUGGGUAGUGGCUUGUAAUUGCUCCGCCAGGCCCUGUAGGGCAUCCCUUGUGUAAUUAACAAAGCGCUGUUGAUUAUAAUAGAUGUAAUUGAUCCAAUUGACAUUCUUAUUAGCAGUUAUCAUUGGAAUUAAGGAUUCAAAUCCUGCUGCCACUUCAUCCCUUGCCUUGAAUUUGUUAGGCACCCCCCUUGGCACACCUAUGGCAUCAAUAUACACAUGGGGGUCGAAGCUCCCUCGGAUGGGAGCCUCUCGUUUGGUUCUAGAAUGUACAUGUGUAAGGUUUAAUGUGUUAUGACUACCAUCUGGAAUAAUGUGGAUAGGCAUUAUAACUUUGGUCAGGGCACACUCCCCCCACCAUUGCCCAGCUAGUUGGGACCUCAAUUGUUUGUCACCACAUAACCAAUAGAUAUCACCGAUUGUCUUUGUAUGAUUCAUUAACAGUGAUACAGGUGGACCAUGGUAAGUUGAGCAGUAUCCUGAUGGGAAUUUGCCCAGAUAUACACCAGUGUUCUUAGGUAUUGAAUAGCAUGUGUAAUUACCUGGAUAGACUGUGACUCCAUCAGGUGGCUUGACAUGUCCAUGAGUGAUUGGGUAAACUCUAUUCCAUGAUUCACAUGUUGAGGAAUUUGUGGUGGACUGUGCAUAGAGGCUUAAGACACAUAGUUCUAUUUCAGGAGGUAAACUUAGGGGUACCGUGCCCAGAUGGGGCCUGGCUCCUCCACAUACAUAGCAGUUAGUCUUAUUAUGUGAGUUGGCAUUAUACCUCAUCCAUUCUAGCCACAAAUUAGUGUCUGAAAACCCAGUCUCCACUGCCAUAGUGUCUUCAAAGGUGGGGUUGGCUAUAGCUACCAUGUAGGGUCUUAAUAUGUGGUUUUAACGGGUUAAUGAUCAUGUGUGUGGUCCCUACCCAAUCUGGUGAGGUGAGCAUGUCUUGUAGGUAAAAUGUCCCCAGUGUGUUAUGUGAGCCACCUCCCUUCCAGUACAUUCCCAUUACAUAUUCCCCAGCAUCCUUUGGGCUGGGGUGCUCUAUGUUCAAGGUAAGUUUAAUGGGAGUUGACCCUAUGGGCUUACUCAGGGUCAUUCUAGAAAUUAGGGGUUUCCCGUCUUUGUCAAGUCUGUCCAGUGCAAUCUGGGGUCUGUAGCCCCAUGGUCUACCCGUGUUCCACCCGGCAGCUUUCCAUGAACUACAAUGGUGUCCCCAAACUCCUCCAGUCACACAAAUGUAUGGAUCCUUUUUGUUAGGUAUGUCUUUGUAUAUGGCUGCAUAUUGUGUUUGUGGAAAUGUGCAAGCAACUAUGCCACAGUAAUCAAAGGUGUACGUAGCUACAUCUGUGUUAGAAGAAUUGUACCAGAAAGUGUAAACAUGAUUAUCUUUGGUUAUGGCCACUUGUUGGGCCCAGGCAAAGUGUAGCAGCAUAAGAAAACACAAGACACAUAUUAAAUUCAUAUUUCAGCAGGAUUAGCCUCUUCUGGAGCAGGCACUUUUUUGCAAUGUGAGGCGAGUAUCCAAGAACUCUUCCCGGCUAGUUUAACUGACGUUGCUGUAAUCAGGAGCACUUGAUAAGGACCAUCAAAUCUUGGUUCUAGGGUGUGUUUCCUGAGAAACUUCUAGACCAUAACCCAAUCACCAGGAAGCAGCUUGUGUGUACUUGUAUUCGACUCAGGAUCUGGAAUAGAAGAAAACACUUGGGCAUGUAUUUUGGUCAAGGCAUGUGAGAGGGCAGUCACAUAGUCUACCAUAGCAUCUGACUGAAUCUGAAGCUGUUGGGGAAAGUAACAACCUAACCUGGCUGCUGUACCAAACAAAAUCUCAUAAGGUGAUAAGCUAUAUUUUCCCCUAGGAGUGUACCUUACACUAAAUAACGCUAGUGGGAGACUCUCGGGCCAGGCAUGUUAGUUUCUUGUGACAUUUUAAGCAUUCUGGCUUUCAAAGUGCCAUUCAUGCGCUCUACCUUACCACUACUCUGUGGGUGAUAUGGUGUGUGGAAUGCAAGGGUCACCCCCAGUGCUGACCAGACUUCCCGUGUUAACGAGGCAGUAAAGGAGGUCCCUUGGUCACUUUCAAUCACUUCUGGAACUCCAUAUCAGCAAACAAUUUCCGUCAAAAGGUACUUGGCUGUAGUCCUCGCGGUGAGAUUAGUCACUGGGAAGGCCUCUGGCCAUCCUGAAAACAUGUCCACCAUGACCAGUGCAUAUUCAUAACGUCCACUCUUUGGCAUUUGUAUAUGGUCAAUCUGGAUCCUCUGAAAGGGGUAUUGCGGCUUGGCUAGGUGAUUAGGCGCAGUCUUUAUAAUCUUUCCAGGAUUGCAUUUAGCACAUAUAGUACAUGAUUUACAGUAAUUCUGUGUUAAGGUAGUGAUACCUGGUGCUUCAAAAUACUUGUCAAUCAGUGAGUUCAUCAGAUGUUUUGACAGGUGGGCUGGCCCAUGGGCCCAUUGGACCACCGCUGAGUACAUACUUCUGGGUAAGCAAAACUUGAGAUUGAUGGUGUAAACAUCAUCACGGAGUACAGCUCCUUUGUUCUUCCAACUUUGUUUCUCCUGGGGAGUAGCAGCAGCUUGUUGUUCCUUCAGAAGCCUAAGAUCUGUAGGCAAUGUUUGCAUAGUGUAGAUGGGUACUGUAUCGGUGGCCACUCUUCUGUCCACUUCCCAUCCUUGCCGUGCUGCUUCCUUAGCUGCCUGAUCAGCUAAGUGGUUGCCCCGUGCUUCUUCUGUGUCUAGUCUUCCGUGGGCUUUUACUUUUAGUACUGCCACCUCUGCUGGAAGUUCUAAAGCAUCCAUCAGUUCUGCAAUGGCUGCCCCAUGUUUUACUGGGGUACCGGUAGCCGUAAGAAAUCCUCUGGUUUUUCAAAUUAGACCAAAGUCAUGUGCUACUCCCAGGGCAUAUCUUGAAUCUUUGUAGAUAUUGACACGUAGACCUUCAGACAAUUUGCAGGCCACAGUCAGGGCUGUUAGCUCGGCUUCUUGAGCAGACUUAGUUGGUUGUAGGGCAGCUGCUUGUAACACUUGACAUCCUGUGGUGACUGAAUACCCAGUGUGAUAUUGUCCCUGUUCAUCAGCAAAUCUUGACCCAUCCACAAAUAGUGUUUGGUCCGGGUUGAGUAAUGCAGCUUCAUAGACAGUUGGUAGGUGUGUAGUUUCCAUUUUCAUUUGUUCAAAACAAUCAUGAGGAAUAUCUAGGUCACAGUCUAUGAUGAGUGGGUCUUCUCGGGCUUCUGUGUGGUACCUUGGGUACCCUGCUGUACAGUAAUUAAUAGUCUUUUUGUUGAUCCCCGUAGAAGUCAGUUGUUCUUGGUUCAUUUGACUCCAGGUCUUGGCCAUCGGGCCUAGGUCUUUCCAUGAGGUGUCAGGGGAUCUGGUGAGAGAUAUGUGUGGGAUAGCUGUUUCCCAAUGAUGAUAGAGAUGUGUCACAUUCUCUGGAAGAUGGACUAAGAUGAGCAUGGUACCUGUGGGGUCCCAGAAUAAGUCAGUCAGGGUAAUUUGAAUUUCCUUGAGCUGGAAUAAUUCUUCCUCAUAGUUCAUAUCAGGGCCUGGUAUGUCCUUAAACCAUAAGGUGCCGUGGAGUAGGGCCUCUGAUUGUUCAUCAUGUGGGGGUGCAAGUGCUGGCAGCUGCAAAUCUGCUCGAACCUCUGGGUUGAUGUCCAGGCUGUACCAGUAAUGCACAACUCCCCCCUUGGGAAGUGGCAGAAGAGUGGCUGGGUUCAGGGAAAGACAACGCUGAAGUUUCACAUUGUCAGGUAAAAGUAGGGAUGUUUGUAGACGGAGGUGACGUUGAGAAGAAAGGUGCUUAGGUUGAACUAGUUGCAGGAUUGCAGUAAUGUCAUGAGGGGCCAACACCGUGAGGUGGUGGCCAAGAACAAAAUCAUUAGUCUUGUCCAGGAGGGCGCUGGCGGCAAACACCGCUCUGAGGCAGGAGGGACUACCCCUUGCAACAGGGUCAAGCAUGCAGGAAAAAUAGCCAAUAGGCCGCUGUCUUGAGCCAUGUUUCUGGGUAAGGACUCCGGAAGCAUGUCCUGACUUCUCAGAGACAAACAGAUUGAAAGGAAGCUGGUAGUUUGGGAGGCCCAAGGCAGGUGCAGAAGCAAUAGCUAUUUUUAGAUUGUGGAAACAGGUGAGAUGAAAUGGCUCACUCCUGAGGGCAUCAUAGAGUGGCUGCAUGAGCUUUGAUGCUUCGGGUAUCCAGGACCUGCAGUAUGUGAUAAGACCCAAAAAGGCAUGAAGAGUCUGAUGUGUUGCAGGUAAAGGGAGUUGCAAAAUAGCUUGUACACGUUGAGAAGUUAGAUGUCUGGUGCCAUGGGAAAGACAAUGUCCCAAGAAGACCACAGAGGGCCGGCACCAUUGUAGCUUGGAUUUGGAAGCUUUGCAACCAGCUGCAGCGAGGAAACAAAGGAGAUCUUCUGAGUCACGUUCUGCAAUGAGCGAAUCAGGAGCACAGAGAAGGAGAUCAUCAACAUAUUGGAUCAGGACAACAUCUGAGUGAGAUUUCUGCCAGGGCUCCAGAACCAGAGACAUGGCAUGAGCAAACUGUGUGGGGGAAUUCUGGGCCCCCUGAGGCAUGACAGUCCAGGUGUAUUGUUGUCCUUCGUGGGUGAAGGCGAAGAGAAAACGGCAGGAAGGGUCAAGGGGCACACUGAAAAAGGCAUUGGCUAGAUCCACUACAGUGAAAAUUGUGGCAGUCGGUGGAACCUGGGACAAGAGAGUGUGUGGGUUUGGAACAAUAGCAGUGUCCUUUUACGGUUACUUCAUUAACAGCACGGAGAUCCUGCACCAUUCGGUACUGGUCGGGUUGGCCUUUAACAGUUCUCUUUUUAACAGGGAAAAGUGGUGUGUUACAUGGAGAUGUGCACUUGAUGAGGGCACCUUUGGCAAGUAGGCUUUCAACUUGUUUGGUGAUAGCUUUAGCUUGUGCUGGCUUCAGAGGAUACUGUGGCCUACGGGGAGGCAGUGCUCCAGGCAGGAGCUUGACCAAGACUGGGGGCACAUGCAAACGUCCGAUAUCAUCCAGGCCGGUGGACCAAAGUUCUUGGGGGAUAUGAUCCAGAGCACUGGGGGUUUGUGAGACCCGUGUAUUCCCUGUAUUGUCAGUUAGGAUCAACAAGAUGGGGAGGGAACAGAGGACAGAGGUGUCUUUUUGUGAUAAGGGAGUUGUUAACUCGACCUGACCAUCAGCAGUAAAGGUAAUAGAUGCCUGGAGCAGAGAGAGAACAUCAGCACCUAGGAGGUUAAUGGGGCAAGUAGAGGAAACAACAAACCGGGAGUGAAUGUGUGAACCUACAUGCAGAAGUUUAGUAAGGGGGUUACUGCGGGGUGUACCAUCCACCCCAACACAGGAGACAUCGGUAUCAGAUAAGAAGGAAGGAUCUGGCAGGUUUUGUUCCCUGAGAACACUACGGGCUGCACCUGUGUCGACUCCCCCCCCGCAGACACUGCCAUGGCAGGGGUUGCUGACACAGGCUUGCCAGUUACCUAUUGUAAUAAAUCUAAAUGGGCCUGAUCUGGUCCCUGGUACCGGCGGGAAGUGGAGGGAGGGUUACUAGAUUGCAUGGGAGGACGGGAUGGACGAUUAGUGUGGCGGGGCAGUGACUGACUCUCUUGGAAAUCAUCUGUGUCAAACCCUUCAGCGGGAGCCGAAGUGUAUGCACGGCAUCUGAUGUAGGGAGCCUGGGUGUAUUCAGGAGGAGGAGGAGGAGGAGGGGGAAGCUGUGGCAACUGUGGAUGGGGCAGGGCAGGGAGGUAACCAGUGGAGGGGAAACUAAAGCCGGUGACAUGGGGACUUGGGUACCGGGGAGUCUGUGGGCGGAUUACUCUAGGGUGUGGGCAAUCUCUUCUGAAAUGGCCGGGCUGAUUACAGUUAAAACAGGUCCGGAUUGUCGUGAGGGUCCGGUCCCGGGGAGAAGGGAUAGAUGCAGGCAGUGUCUGGGGUAACUGAGUGUAUUGUUGGGGGAGUAUCUGAGGAACCUGGUUAGGACUGACAAUUGGUGCAGAAGUAGUAUACAUCAGAGGGUUAGUUCUUCGCUGUGUGGGUUGCAGAACAGAUUCUAAACCCUUGGCUACCAGUAAAAGUGUGUCCAGUGGAAUAAAUCUGUACUCUGGGCGAGCUAAAAUCAACCCCUUACGAAUGUGUUCCCUAAGGCCUGCCACAAAGGCUGCAGAUAACAUCUGUGUGUGUGCUUUGUUAUAGGUGCUGAACCCUAAGUCUGAGAAAGUCUGAGUCAAUCUAGAAUGAUACUUUUCAACAGUCUCAAGCUUAUCCUGAAUUAUGUCAUUUAUGCAAGUAGCCUGAUCUGCUAAUUUAUCCUGUGCCCAAGCUCGGAGCUGCUCACAGAAAAUUUCACCAGAACGAAAAUCUGUAUCAGAAGUGAGUGGAGCGUCAUUAAAGCUCCGUUCCAUGAUUGGCCAGUAUGCAUCUCCAGCCUUUAUUUCACACAAACUUAUAAGAUCCCGCCAGGCAGCGGAAUAUGUUUUUCGAAUUUGAGCCAUGCUGCGGAAAAAGGGCAUGGGGUGUUUCUCAGGAUCUGGGAGUGAGGUCACAAGGGUAGCAGCUUGGGAAGGGUUUAAGGUAACAUACAUGGGUGGUGCACCAUCCGCUCCAUGGUUAAUCUGGGUAUAACCCUGGGGGAUAGUGAGCCGUUGGGGGAGCCUGUUCCCCCCUGGGCGAGGUGAAUCCUGUUCUACCACAACAAUCUCCUCGGGUGCUACUGGGCCACGGUGCAGAGUAGUCUCGGGGGUAGCUGUGGCGGGGGCGGCAGGGAGACCGUGAUGGGAGAGGUAGUUGGGUGGAAGCCCGAGGCCUGGGGGGAAGCACCCACUGCAUAGGGUUGAUCCGACGUCACAGACACUUCGGAUCCAACCACCAUGAUUGGAUAACUAGAGCUGGUAGGAGAUACAUGGGGUUGCUGUGGGGGCCGGCUGAGAUGGGCGUGAGAGGUGGGUGUGGCGAAACCGGCCUCGCCACGUGUCCUUGGAGGGGGCUGCUUGCCUGCCUCUUGCCUUUGGACUAUGGACCAGACUUUAUGUGAAGUUAUUAACCCAGAUAGCUAUGCCAUGGAGCCCAUUCGUGUAGUUAAAGACUUCGGCUCCAUGGCAAUUGAACUGUGUGAAUAGGAUCUGAGCGCUAUUCGGUAGUUUUGUGCGCUUAGAUCCCAGCUAUCUGGGGAUAUGUGACAUGUCUGUGUUUUAUGUAUAAAAUGUGACUUUAUGUAUUUUAAAGUGUUUUGUGUCUUUUUGCAACCAUGUGCUUAAUGGAGUCUUUUGUCUGUCCUGGGAGAUAAUUGAAUUACUCUCCAGGAUAGAAGACUCUGAAACUGGUUUGGGCCGGAAAGCCAUGCUUCAUUUAGUCACAAAGGACUUUCCCUUAACUUUUGAACCCCUGGUCUGAUUCGUGCCAUUUUUAAAUAUGUUGUUCCCCUGAAUGGAUUGAUUAUGAAAAUGUAAGUUUUAUGUAUGUACGAUGUUAACUCACAAAGUUAUAAAAAUGUACAAAAAGUAACUUUUCAGCUUGGAGAUAAUUGAGUAGAUACAGUAAUUGACUCAAUUAUCUCCUAAGCAGAGGGGAGGAAUAUGCUGGGUGUGUUUCUAUUGUCCCAUUGUGUCUGAUUGGCUGCUGUACUUGCAUUGUAGGUGUUGUAAUGUGUUUAUUGGUGGUUCUGCAAAACCCUGUGGGCAGUACGAUGUUUUGUGGAUUGUAAUAAAAACCAGGCUGGGUGUGCCAGCACUGGAGUUCCUGUUUUAACCCUCAAAGUGAAGUGUCGUCUCAUUAUUGGGGGAAGGAUUUAUUGUAUGCUGUUCCAGUUUGACUGCUAGGAGAGUAAACCUGUUCGUAUGGUUCCUAUUCAACUGUCUACAGCAUUCAUAUGCUUGAGAGGAUUCAUAUGCUGCACUGGUUCUUUGGUUGUGGUGUCUGCUGGAGUCCUCAGGAAGCGCUAGGAGCAUCCUUCAACGGAGGUACCCAGUCGGGGUGCCAGGCGAUCCGUUACAGUGGGUAUUUAGGACAUGAGCGAGAGCAGAGAUUGGAUCGGAGGGCUCGGGGAUGUUAGCGGGGGGCGGAGAAGGGGUUGGACGAUCAGGGGGAGGAGGUGGAGGAGGAGGAGGUAAAUCAGUGGGAGGUGGAGCAGGAAUCGCGGAAUUAACCAGGGAGGUAACCGCAGAGAAGAGGACGGAUAUCGAGGUAGACAAGUCAUUGGCCAUGGUUGGGUCAGGGAUCACCGGGGGAGGGGUCGGAAGGAUGGGAACAGGGGGCUGGGUUAUAACAGCGUGGGUAGAGGGUAGGGACGGCAAAUCAGUCGGGUGGGGAGGAGACAACGAGGUAGAGGGGGCCGGGACAUCGGGAGGAGGUAACACUGGAGAAGGGGUUGGGGGGCUGGGUCAGGGCGGUAAGGGCAGAGCUUAGGGACGGCAAAUCAGCCGGGAGGGGAGGAGACAACGAGGUAGAGGGGGCCGGGACAUCGGGAGGAGGUAACACUGGAGAAGGGGUUGGGGGGCUGGGUCAGGGCGGUAAGGGCAGAGAUUAGGGACGGCAAAUCAGCCGGGAGGGGAGGAGACAACGAGGUAGAGGGGGCCGGGACAUCGGGAGGAGGUAACACUGGAGAAGGGGUUGGAGGGAUGGGAACGGGGGGCUGGGUCAGGGCGGUAAGGGCAGAGAUUAGGGACGGCAAAUCAGCCAGGAGGGGAGGAGACAACGAGGUAGAGGGGGCCGGGACAUCGGGAGGAGGUGGCGGUGUGUGGAUAGCAGGAGGGUCCUGGAGGAUGGGAGGGGUGCCUGGGAGUGUUGCGGGAGGAUGGAUUGAAGCAGAAAGGGCGGCUACUAGUGUUGCAAGAUCAACGGGAGGGGAGGAGGUAGAGGGAGGGCCAGCUGUGGUGGUAUAUGAGGGAGCGGAGGCAGGGGGGCCGGGAUCAGCGGCUGGACAAGAUUCAUGAGAGUGGAGAGUAGGGAUGAGGGAUCCUUAGAGGAGGAAGGAGAAGGGGAAUGAGAAGGAGAAAAAGGCAGAGAGGAUAAUGGGGUAGGGGUCACGGGACAGGUCACUUUCGAAAGGCUAGCAAGGAAGGAGGAAAGGUCUGGGUCCGGGGGUAUGGGAGAAGGGGGGUCUGUGGAGGAACAGGGGUCCGGAGGAAUGGGGGCAGUGGGAUGGACAAGGGUCGAGGGAGCAGAGUGUGAAGCAGUCGAGGGGGGGUAAGGGAGCGGGUGUCACUGGUGAUGGGGUACUCGAGGUGGAGAGGGAAUGAGAGGAGGAGGAGGAAACGUCGGUGGAUGAGGCGGGAGCGGUCAGGACGGGAUCUUGGCGAGGUUUUGGAGUAGAAGCAGGCACUGGGAGAGGUGGCGGAGGACAUGGAGGCGGGGGAACAUCAACAGACGUAACAGGAGAAGGGUUGAUGGAGGGGGCUGGGUCAAAGGGAGGUUGGUGCAUGGGAGUGGGUGGGAACGAAUGAAGUGGCACUGGAUAGUAGUAAGCACCGUCUGCACCGAGUACGGGGCACAGGGGGGUGGGAGCUGAAGGCACACCCACGGGGGGUGGGGUCUGUGCUGUGACAGGGGAAGCAGGGCGGGAAUUUACUGUUGCGCUCUGGGCGCCAUCAUAGGGCGGUGGCCACGGGACAAUGGAAACAACAUCAUCAUUGUUAACACUCCUAUGGUAUACGUACACAGUUUGCCCUUCAAAAUCUAACUCUUCCUCGACCCACCCUUCCCGUUUCAGACGUCUAGCUACCCGAUACCAAGCCUCUGCAACUUUUGUGAGCCCAUUAUCCAACAACAACCCUUCCUUGUCUAUGAGUAACUUCCUCCAAAACUCAGGUUGCAAUCUCCCACUGGGCAGCAUCUGGAAGCCACACACCUUAGCAAUCUUUCUAAGUUUCAACAUUGCAUCUUCCCCUGCCCUUUCUUUCACAAUAUCACAAGCCAACAAGCCCUUAGCAGGUCUAACAUGUUCCUGCCCCAUCUUGAAUAAUUGGAGUGAGCCACGUGUUAGAGACAGAUAUACAGAGGAGAUACAGGGGAGGAGGAAGAGGAAUGUCUACAGUGCUCGACUGCCACGAGGACUUGGGUCCCGUGCGUCUUCCCAAAACGUAGACUAGUCACGGGGGUCCGCCCACCGGGGGUGGCGGUCACGGACCGGAGCGAGCGAGCGUGGGUGACUAACACAGCUCUGGGCAACAGACACAGGAGAGAUAAAGGACAAAAGAGAAGAUGAACGUGGCUACGCUAACGAGAAGACAUUUGCAAAAGUCACAAACAUAGAGAUGAGCGUAAACCCCGGAAUCCAGAACCAGCCACACUAUACACACACACACACCCCAAGGGUACCCACACUGUAACAACAAUUGAACAAAAACCACAGAAUGACAGAGAGUAAAAUGGCCAUGUACAUGUUAACACCACUGGCACCAGAUAUUUAAAAUGUGGCAAUCCCCAGCCCUCCCCCACCAGGCUGGUCCCGUUAUAACACAAGUACCAAUGAAACACUGCAAUAAUCAAACAAAAUACCAGCCCCACCGGCUGUAAUGCGUUCCCUGCCCGCUAGGCAGUCAAGCUAACAUAAAAUCCCAGCCCCACCGGCUGUAAUGCGUUCCCUGCCCGCUAGGCAGUCAAGCUAACAUAUAAUCCCAGCCCACCGGUUGUAAUGGGCGCUCCUGCCCGCUAGGCAGUCGCUUAACAUAUACGCGCUCCCACCAAGCAGGGCAGUCAAGCUAACAUCUUUUAAAAAGGGGAAAACACACACACCGGCCGGCCACACACAUUCGAACGAAUACAGGAGGCAGAUAGACAAUCGACAGGUUCACUUUAAAAGGCACACCGGAUGAGCUUACCUGUCUCUAGUAGCCUUCUGGAAGCCGGAAGUGGACUCGGAGACAGACCGACACAAAACAGGAGAAUAACACAGGCAACGGCUGUAUUAUGGAGGUGAUCAGGCUCCGCUUGUCCCACUUUCCGGAGGUCCGCUCCGGUCCGUUGGUUCCGGCCCUCCGAACCGGCCCUCCGGUGGGCCCCACGUUGGGCGCCAAUUGAAAUGGAAAAAUCAAUCAAAGUAUUGAUUAUUUCUUUGUGUAUCUGCCCCUGGCCAAAUCAAUGAAACAAUGCGUGCACGCUCCCUGAAGUAAUUCACACCAGACACAGGUUCCAGGUUGUUGAAUAACUUGAGGAAUGUUUAUUCAGAGGGGACGGCAGGUCCCUUUUAAAGCAAAAUUACAUCAUAAGCAUUGUCAGAGAUAACAUGGAAUAAUACAUCAAUUAUUGGUUAGGUGUUAAGUGGUCAUUCUAAUGCUCUGCCUACUGGGGGUGAUGUCACCAGGGCCAUGAAGGUCUCCCACGGUUUUCCGGCGCCAUCUUGCUGCACGAGGUAGUUAGUUGGUGUUAAAGGGAGGGGGAGGAAAGGAGGGGUUAGAAGCUUCUAGCAGCCAUCUUGAUUAAAACAUGUGUGCAUAGCUUAUUUUGUAUAUAGUGAAAUGAGUAAAUAGACAUUUUCAUUAACUAGGAAAUAUGUGCAGACCUUAUUUCCACAACAGCUUUAUAUUUACUUAAGUUCUGCAUGUUGGGCAUCUACAGAAAUCCUGACAGCUUCAUCAUCCCGUGUUUUCCUACCUAUGUCUCCAGGUCCCAGGACUGUGGGGUCCAUUAGCACUCCUUUGCCUUUUGAUCUGGGCCUAGGGGUGUCCAGUAAUUUUGAGGGCGACAUGCCAGGGCUAUCAUUGCCAGUUUCUGCAUGAGCGUCUGGGGGGUACGUCCUCUGUUCUCUUGCAUUCGCUUGCUCCAUUCUCUCCUACGCACCAGACUGUUAGUGGGUCCAAUGCCACGCCACUGUCUUUGGCUGCUUGCAUGGGUGGCCCCUACGCAUCAGGGUCUAACAUCACUGACAUGCACGCUCCCUUUGGGGUAGAUGCACCAAGCAGCGCUUCUAUCUCUAAUUUCAACCCUGUUAACCCUACAUUCACUACUGAUCCUACUUCUUCUCAAGCCUCUACUUCUACUGAUCCAUUCGCCGCUGUGUCCUCUGCCCUUGGAGCUCCCAUCUUAGCUUCUGUUUUGCAGGAGGUACUGAGAAACAUGGAACAUACCUCCCCUCGCAACGUAUCCAGGCGGUCUGCAGGUCAAGUUACGUUACCACAGAGGACUGAUACAGCUUGCCCCAUUCCUCCAGUGGCUGGAUCAUCUCAGGCGGGAGUUGCUGUUCCUCCGGACACGGGAUUGCAGGUGGCUGCGCCAGUCAGUGAGUCUUUUCCUCCUACACUUGCAAGUUUAGACCUAUCCAUUUCAUCUGACGACUCCGGGUUGGAGGAUGAAGGCGUGUUAAUCUUUCCUCUAAGAGUCAGAAAUUGAUGUUUCACAUGCUCAGGAAAUUAUUGCUAGCACAAGGAAGGGGGGGUCACUCAGGCGUUGUGGGCGGAUCUGUCCUGCACUCAGCACCGCUGAAUUCCCCCUCCUCUUCACUUGGCCAAGAGUUGUUGCUGUGCAGGGCAGCUAUUCAAGGGGACUCUAACCCCUGUUCUGUUUACUCCCUGCAUGCGCACCUCAAGUCCAAGGUGAAGGCGAAAAUUUGGGAAUUUAACAUAUGUCCGCAUUUUUUAACUCUCUUCUGAGGCUUAUAGGCUUCAGGAGAGAGCUGAUGGUGAGUCUGGUACAAAACGUCCGAAACGCCUAGAAUCAUUUGAGUGGAAGGGCUGUUUUCGGGUGCUGGCUUCCUGUCACUUGGAGAAGCAUCCAGAGCAGGCCAUUCCUGUCCUCAAGGAGAUGAUGGAUUAUAUUUAUCGUCAUUUCAGGCAAGGGGCAUGGAAGGAGUAUUUUUUAGGUUUAUGAGGCGCCUGGCGAGUAAUCCAUCUCUGUCCUUUGGUGUGCAAGAUAUGCACCUGUGGUUGCACUUUGGGCCAGAGAAGGUCUUGCCUCCUGGGGGUGGUGUUUUUUCGUCCACUGGGCUUCCUUGGGUUCCCAGCCUCUUCUGUGUGUGUCCGCUGGUUGGGACGGCGCAGCCUUUGCUGGCCUGCUCUCCCAACAUUGCUUCGGGAGGCUCCGGCUCGAUGGGGGAGUCCACAUAUCCUGGUGCUCCAUCUUGGUGGCAACGAUUUUUGUUCUGUUCCAGUACUAGAUCUGGCAUGGGUUGUCUACUCGGAUCUUCGCUGGCUUUCUGCUUGGUUACCAGGCGUGAGGAUUGGGUGGUCCAAUGUGUGGCCCAGGCUUCAGUGGCGCAGGUUUUCUUCUCCAGGUGCCACUUACAGGGCUCGGAAGAAACAGACUGGUAGGUUGAGCUGUUGCUGAGCUGCAUGGGGCAUAGGGCAUCCGAGCAUUUCUGUCAACCGGGUAGAGCUUUUUAGGCCUGAUGGGGUCCACCUCAGCUCUGCUGAUAUGGACUUUUUUCUUGCUGACUUUCAUGAGGCUCUGGUGCCCCAGGUCUAGCCCAGGCUGCAAAAAAUAAAAAAAUAAAAAUAUAUAUAAGUUGUUUGGUUGGUGGCAAGAGAUUGGAUCUCUUGUGGCGAGAGGGUGCAGCUUUAGGGCAUGGUGCAGAGAAAGAGAGCGGAGUAUCGGCAGCAAGGAGACAGUGGCCUGGCUGCGGCGCCCGCCUGCAGUCUGCAUUCAAGGUGGCCGUACCGAAGAUUAUCUCUUGCUGUCCUUAUGUCUCUGCUUGGGUGGAUGCAACUGGUGCUCCGUUGCAGGAUUAAGUUGAGCCGCAUCCUCUUGUGGGCUGAGGAGUUAAGCUCUCAGCGCCGCCACCCUAGCUAAAUUUGGUUAUUAUUUAUAUUUUACAGCCGUUCUGUUUGUUUUUUUUCUGCCAUGAUGCCAUGGUGAUGUAUUCAAUAAAUGCGGCCAGCAAUGGCUUUACCUCCCAGCAUGUUGUUUGUGUUAUUUUUUUCAAGGGGAAUGUUGGGUUAGGGAGGGUGUUAUAGGGUUAGUUAUUUGGCUAAAAUGAAGGGACAUAGGAGAUAUCCCCUCAUGCAGCCUGAGGCACAAAGCAUGCAUGAAAAAACUGUUUCAUUUUCAAUCAGUAUAGUGUGUUCAUGUAAAAAAAAUUUUUUAUCUCCAACUCUGUUAAUUGAUCUUUAAUCUUACACAGGAGAAUCCUGUAGGCUCUAGCAGGCUUUAACCAGAGUAGGAUAUACAAAACUCUAAAUUAAAUAGAAUGUGCAAUAAAAGAAGUUUAAACAUUAGCUCUUUCUUUACGGGAAAUAUGUAGAGAGAUUGUGUAGGUCACAUGCAGGGACAGUAUGAGUAGGGCUACAUAAACAUAAACGGAUUUAACUCCUAAAUGACAAAUAAUUGAGCAGUUAGUCUGCAGGGGCAUAAUCUGUACAACAAAUCAACUCCAUUCAGCUAAAGUUGUUUUGGUGCUUAUAUGUCUUGCUAAAUAUGGCUUGGCCAUCAAUAUGUGUUUUUUUUGUUAUUGCAGACAGAAAAAGACAAGCAAGGAAAAAACAAGACAAAACGGAAAUCAAACGUCUAAAGGCAUUUGAUGUCAGCUUAAGAAAAUAAAAAGACAUAGAGAAAUCAUGGGGGUGACUUAAAAAAGAAGACUAU
rnacentral:lncRNA from 1 species